UAUUUUUUAAGUAUGAAGACAUAUGGGCCUCUAAUAUCUAUGUGGAUUUGGGAACACAAUUAAUAUUUAAAAUAAUUUGCACUAAAACAAUUAUUAUUGUCCAUUAUUAUAUAAAUCAACUAAUUUAAUUAAGGGAGCAUUAUUAUUAUUAUUAUUAUUAUUAUUAUUAUUAUUAUUAUUUUACCCAUUCAUUUGAGUUCAUGGAUGUUCAUGGCAUAAUUCUGUAUCACAUGUGAGUUGAAGUGGAAUUGUUUUUAUAAUGCAUUUGUAGGGCUCUUCUUUGAAACAUUACUAUGAGCACUUGCUUUAGUUGAGCUUAAUUAUAAUAUUUUUUUAAGCUUAAAAUUAAAUAUUUGUGCAUAGCAACUUGUUUAAGUUGAGUUUUACAUUAUAUUUGUGCUUGAUUCAACUUGCAAAAUAACUAAGUUACAUUAAUAAGUUUAAUAUAAGACUUUUAUUCAUAAAGAGGAUAUGAGUUUUGAAUUCUCAAAAAUUUGAGAAAUUUGAAGAUGUUAUGAGAAUCGUAAAUUUCUGUCACGUCAGAUUUUUGUAGUGAGCUAAACAUACAAAUUCUCCAUUCCUAAUUUGUAUUCCUAAAAAUCUUAUUAAGAAAUAUUGUAAAUCAAAUAGAUUAAUUAUUUAUUGAUUUUGUUAUGGGAUAAUAAAUUCUCAAGUGAGGUAUUUAUGUCAUAAUGGAAUUUAUUUAUUACUUAUCAAUCUAGUUUAGUAAUUCCUUUUUCCUGUUUUGAAAUUUUAUUCUCAAAAGUAAAUCAAAUAAUUCAAUUGAAAAUAUUAAUUGGGAUGAAAAAUUGCAUCUAACCCUCCAUUAUAAAUAUUUGAAUUUAAAAAAAAAGAAAAAAAAAUUUUACUAAAUUUGAGCCGAAUGAAUCUUUUUAUCAAACCCUGCAAAAUAUUCCACCCUAGUUUGAAACUGUGACUUUUUUCAGAAUAAGUCAUUAAACCUUGGAUUAAAUGAGGAAGAGGAAAAAGAAGAAGAGCAAAAUUAUCAAUUUACCUUAUUAAUUAAUCAUGAUCAAGUAUUUUAACUGUGGCUAACUAAAUUUUUCUACUGAAUACUAAUGGCAGGGACAUAUCUGAAUACAUUAAGGACUUUUGCAGGAAUAACUUAUAAAAGUUGAACUUUGCAGGAAUAUAUCUGCAAUUCACCAUAUUUGCGAGGACCUGUAUGAAAUUAAUCCUAUUAUAUAUAUAUAUAUAUAUAUAUAUAUAUAUAUAUAUAUAUAUAUAUAUAAAAGAGGGAGAGAAGUCAAUGGUCCACCGUGGACUCCCUCUCAUGCGGUCCACGAGGUGAAGUGGACCUUAUGGACUGGGCGUUUCCUGCCCCCAAGCCGCGUGCUUUGCUGAUGGGUUUUCGUCUUUCGCUCGUUUUGAGUGGAAAACAAGAACCCAAUUUUUCUUAGGAUAUGUAAAAAAAAAAAAAUUCAAAUUUUCUUCUUUAACAGACAACAAACAUCGGAAAAUUAUUUUUCGCUGAAAAAAAAAAAAUUCGGGUCAGCUUUCCACUGAACCAAACACACUCCAAACAAUCCAUCAAAAACAUCAUCCAUUAUUUUCUAAAUAUAUACUAUUUUCCCCCCUAAUAUCAAUUUAACAAAGUAUAAAAAUUAAAAGUUAUUUAGAUGAAUAGUUUUAAAUUUUGAACUGUAUACUAACUCAACUCUACUUUUCAGAAUUUUCGAUUAAAUAUUAAAACUACUAUGUUUAAUCAAAAUUUGCAGUGAGCUUUUUAGAAUUAUUUAUCUCAAUAAAUACUGAAAGUUAAAAAAAUAAUUUUUAUAAUGCAUAAAAGACUAUAUGAAUUUUUUUGGCAUUUUUUAUUAUAGCUUUUAAAUUUUAAAUUUUUAAUAAUUAUAUAUGUUAAUUGAUUAAAAUACUAUCGAUCUGCCGUGAAGUGUGGGAUCUCCACUAGUUUAUGAUAAUUUAUGAGGUUUGAGAAUGUAUUGAUGAUAUUUCAAAGUUUUGAAAGAUAAUCUAUAAUAUUUUUAAAAUUUACAAGGCUAGUCGAUCAUGAAAUUGCCCCUUUUUUAAAGCAAAUUGUCAUUUACGACUUGAAGGGAUGCAAUAUAAACUAACCCACACUACAAUAAAAAUGGUGUAUAACAACACUUUUAAAUAUCGGUACAUGUCAAAAAAAGUACUGCUGGCUAAAUUACCAAUACUUUUAAAAAGUAUUGCUAUAUGUAGGGUCGCUAGGUAUAUAGCGACAGUUUAAAAGUGUCGGUAUAACAUAAAAUGAGUGCUGCUAAUUUACUAACACUUAUUUAAGCAUUUAACAACAGCCGGAACUCUACCUCGUUGGCUGCGAUGGCGGAGGAGGAGGAAAGCGAAGGACUUUUCAUCUAGAAUUUCAGUAGAUUGAGUGAGGAGAGAAGGGAAGGUGAUGAUCGAUUUUUUUUUUCCUUUCCUGUUUAUAAGCGGGCCGAAUGGGUUGGGUGAGGUGGGUUGAGUAGAGUAACCUUUUAUUUUUUAUUGGAUUGGGCUUUAUAUUUAAGCCUUGAUAGAUUUUUUUUUUAAGUUUUGGCAUAAACGGAACACUUACAUAAAAAUGUCUCAAACAUAUGUUCCUACAGUCUAAUUCUGUUGUAGUGCCAAUUAUAGCAAAAGAAAGAAAAUUAUUUUUNAUAUAUAUAUAUAUUUGAAUCAACUAAAAUCUCAUUAAAAAUAUUUAAAACAAACAUAAAUCACCAAACCAAAACUCUAACUUUUAUAAAUUUUUAAUUCAAAGUAUGUUUACUAAGUACAAACAAGAGAAGUGAAUGGAAACUCACAUUUUAACUAAAGUAUAUAUAUCAGGCUUAAAUAAUCUAAAUACAAAAUAAUGUCUCUGUCAACUAAAUUAGCUCUAAAUCUUUGGUAAUAUCAAACCCUUAUGUAUAUAUAUAUAAUUUUUUAAGGGUAAAUUUCAAAUACCACCCUGUAGUUUCGCACAUUUUCACUUUAGUACCAUACGGUUUAAAAUUUUUUAUUUUCGUCGGCGUCUUCGUUAACUCUUCGUUAAAUUAUAUACAAAAAACUUCAAAUACCCCCCUAUUGUUUAUCGAAUAUUCAGUAUUAUGUAGUUUAUCGAAUUUUUAACUUUGUCACUGGUUUAACGAAAAAUUAAUAAAGGGAAAAAUAGAAAGAGAAAAAUAAAACCCAAAGAUAUAAAAAUAAUAUAUUUUAAAUCACAGAAUAAUAAAAUGAGAAAGCGUGAAAUGGUGUUUGAAGUUUUUUUCUUUUAUUAAUCUAAAAACCCUAGCUUAUAUACCAAAAAUUCUCCAUGUAUAGUAGUACCACAUCAAAUGCUAUACAAUUUUUUUUGGGUUUCUUUCAUACAGGUCCCUGCAAACAUGUUGAAUAGCAGAUAUAUCCCUGUAAAGUUCAACUUUCAUAAGUUAUUCCUGCAAAAAUCCUAAUGUAUUAAGCCGUUAGAGAAAUCUAGUUAACGACAGUUAAAAUCCUUAACCAUAGUUUGUUAAUAAGGUAGAAUGACUUUUUUACCCUUCUUCCUCUUUUCCUUUCUCUUUUUCUUCCUCUUCCUCUCCUGCUUCUUCUUCUUUCUCUUCUUCUUUGUAUCCCCAUUUCCCUCCUCCUUUUCUCCUCCUCUUUCUUCUUCGUCGUCGUCGUUGAUGAUCCGAUUGUCGUUGCCGUUGUGGUGCCCACGUGGGCCGUGGUCACGGGCGCCUCCGACGGCAUCGGCGGCGCCUUCGCCUUCCACCUCUUUCUUAUCCUCGUUGGCCGCAACCCCGACAAGCUCCGCAAGGUCGCCGUCCGCUCCCACAACAUGAAGAGGAAGAGGAAGAUGAAGAGGGCAAGGGCAAAAUAGUCAUUUCAUAACUCUAUUAUUAAAAAAUUAAUAGUUCUCUAACAUAUCCAAACUAGAUGGACAUAUUUGAAUAUAUUAGGACUUUUGUAGGAAUAAUUUAUGAAAGUUGAACUUUGUAGGAACAUAUCUACUAUUCAACAUGUUUACAGGAUCUGUAUGAAGUUAACCUUUUUUUUUUUUUUUUUUUUUAGAGAGAUAUCAAAUGCUACACAUUGAAACUCACUACAAGAGAGAGGACUCGAAUAGUACUAACCCUUCUCUCUCCUCUCUCUCUCUCUCUCUCUCUCUCUCUCUCUCUAAGAAGCCAUGGACUGAUGAUCUAGUACUCUCCUCUCCUCAAUUUGGUGCGUACAACACAGCCCAGGAACAUCUCUACCCUAACCUAGAGAGGAGAGAGAGAGAGAGAGGGGGGAGAGGAGAGAGAGAGAGUUUUGUAAAACCUAGAGAGAGAGAGAGUGUGGAGAGAGAAGAGGAGGAGGCUAUAGGAGAACCACCAUUUUGUUCUUUUCCCCUUCACAAACCACUCUCUCCCAAACCCAAAAAGCUCUCACCUUUGGUUGUGUAACCCACCAAUCUCUCUCUCUCUCCCCUCCUCCUCCUCCCUUUUGAUGCUUCGGAUCUGAGGAGAUCGCCCAUUGGAGGCGAAGCCAUGGUGCGGCGCCAUGGGUGGCAGCUCCCUGCUCACACCUUUCAGGUUCCUUCCUACUCUCUUUCUCUCUUGAUCUCUCUCUCUCUCUCUCUCUCUGUCCCGUGUCCUAAUCUUGUGAAUGUUGCUGGGUUUCUUUCUGAUUUGUUGUAUUGUACUUGUUUUUGUUGCUUGUAGACGAGACAUGGCUUCAGGAAAAGCCCUAAUUUUUACCCUACUAGACGUAAAAUUGUCACUUGGGUGAUAACAAAUUGAACCAUUUACUCCCUCUUUCGCUCUAAUUUCUCUCUCUAUUUUGUUUCCUAAUCUUGUGAAUGUUGUUGGGUUCCUUUNUGCCAUGUGAUCUUUAGCUAUUUAAACUAUAUUUUAUCUAUUUUAAUAUUCUCAUAAUUAAUUCCUUGGGAACUUGUUAAGUUUGCAAAAUAAUUCUAUUUUUGGUUACUAUCUAAAUCCAUAUUUAAUUAGCUUUUUAGAUUCAAAAGCAGGCCUUCUAAUUUAAACUUUUAUUUUUGUUGUAAAUUAUUUGAGAGAAUUUAAAUGAAUAAAUAAAUAUAUAUAUAUGUUUUGAGAAAAGUUUUAAUGAAAAAAAUAUUAAUGCUUAUUGAUAUAGCUUUAUUUAAAAACACAUAUCCAAAAAGAAAACAAAAAUUAUGCUUCUUAAAUUGAAGAAAAAUCCUACAAAUAUAUAUAUAUAUAUAUAUAUUUUGAAUCAACUAAAAUCUCAUUAAAAAUAUUUAAAACAAACAUAAAUCACCAAAUCAAAACUCUUAACUUUUAGAAAUUUUUAAUUCAAAGUAUGUUUACUAAGUACAAACAAGAGAAGUGAAUGGAAACUCACAUUUUAACUAAAGUAUAUAUAUCAGGCUUAAAUAAUCUAAAUAGAAAAUAAUGUCUCUGUCAACUAAAUUAGCACUAAAUCUUUGGUAAUAUCAAACCCUUAUGUAUAUAUAUAUGUAUAAUUUUUUAAGGGUAAAUUUCAAAUACCACCCCGUAGUUUCGCACAUUUUCACUUUAGUACCAUAUGGUUUAAAAUUUUCCAUUUUCGUCGGCGUCUUCGUUAACUCUUCGCUAAAUCAUAUACAAAAAACUUCAAAUGCCCACCUAUAGUUUAUCGAAUAUUCACUUUAGUAUCAUGUAGUUUAUCGAAUUUUUAACUUUGCCACUGAUUUAACGAAAAAAUUAAUAAAGGGAAAAAUAGAAAGAGAAAAAUAAAACCAAAAGAUAUAAAAAUAAUAUAUUUUAAAUCACAUAGUAAUAAGAUGAGAAAGCGUGUUUGAAGUUUUUUUCUUUUAUUAAUCUAAAAACCCUAGCUUAUAUACCAAAAAUUCUCCAUGUAUAGUAGUACCACAUCAAAUGCUAUACAUUUUUUUUGGGUUUCUUUCAUACAAGUCCCUGCAAACAUGUUGAAUAGCAGAUAUAUCCCUGCAAAGUUCAACUUUCAUAAGUUAUCCCUGCAAAAAUCCUAAUAUAUUCAGAUAUGUCCCUACCGUUAAUACCCGUUAGAGAAAUCUAGCUAACGACAGUUAAAAUCCUUAACCAUAGUUAGUUAAUAAGGUAGAAUGACUUUUUUACCCUUCUUCCUCUUUUCCUUUCUCUUUUUCUUCCUCUUCCUCUCCUGCUUCUUCUUCUUCCUCUUCUUCUUUGCAUCCUCAUUUUCCUCCUCCUUUUCUCCUCCUCUUUCUUCGUCGUCGUCGUCAUUGAUGAUCCAAUUGUCGUCACCGUUGUGGUGCCCACGUGGGCCGUGGUCACGGGCGCCUCCGACGGCAUCGGCGGCGCCUUCGCCUUCCGCCUCUUUCUUGUCCUCGUUGGCCGCAACCCCGACAAGCUCCGCAAGGUCGCCGUCGCCAUCCGCUCCCACAACAUGAAGAGGAAGAGGAAGAUGAAGAAGACAAGGGCAAAAUAGUCAUUUCAUAACUCUAUUAUUAAAAAAUUAAUAGUUCUCUAACAUAUCCAAACUAGAUGGGCAUAUUUGAAUAUAUUAGGGCUUUUGUAGGAAUAAUUUAUGAAAGUUGAACUUUGCAAAAAUGUAUCUACUAUUCAACAUAUUUGCAGGGACCUGUAUGAAAUUAACUUUUUUUUUCUUUUUUUAAGAGAGAUAUCAAAUGCUACACAUUGAAACUCACUACAAGAGAGAGGACUAGAAUAGUACUAACCCUUCUCUCUCCUCUCUCUCUCUCUCUCUCUCUCUAAGAAGCCAUGGACUGAUGAUCUAGUACUCUCCUCUCCUCAAUUUGGUGCGUACAACACAGCCCAGGAACAUCUCAACCCUAACCUAGAGAGGAGAGAGAGAGAGAGAGAGAGAGGGGGGAGAGGAGAGAGAGAGAGUUUUGUAAAACCUAGAGAGAGAGAGAGUGUGGAGAGAGAAGAGGAGGAGGCUAUAGGAGAACCACCAUUUUGUUCUUUUCCCCUUCACAAACCACUCUCUCCCAAACCCAAAAAGCUCUGACCUUUGGUUGUGUAACCCACCAAUCUCUCUCUCUCUCCCCUCCUCCUCCUCCCUUUUGAUGCUUCGGAUCUGAGGAAAUCGCCCAUUGGAGGCGAAGCCAUGGUGCGGCGCCAUGGGUGGCAGCUCCCUGCUCACACCUUUCAGGUUCCUUCCUACUCUCUUUCUCUCUCUCUCUCUCUCUCUCUCUCUCUCUCUCUCUCUCUCUGUCCCGUGUCCUAAUCUUGUGAAUGUUGCUGGGUUUCUUUCUGAUUUGUUGUAUUGUACUUGUUUUUGUUGCUUGUAGACGAGACAUGGCUUCAGGAAAAGCCCUAAUUUUUACCCUACUAGACGUAAAAUUGUCACUUAGGUGAUAACAAAUUGAACCAUUUACUCCCUCUUUCGCUCUGGUUUCUCUCUCUAUUUUGUUUCCUAAUCUUGUGAAUGUUGUUGGGUUCCUUUUUGUUUUGUUGUAUUUUACUUGAUGAGAAUUGGCUUCAGAAAAAAGCCCUAAUUUUUACCCCACUAUAUGUAAAUUUAUCACUUGGGUGAUAACAAAAUGACCCAUUUGCUCUUUCUCUCUCUAGUUUCUCUCUAUUUUGUCUCUUAAUCUUGUGAAUGUUGUUGUGUUCCUUUUUGAUUUGUUGUAUUUUACUUGUCUUUGGUACUUGUAGAUGAGAAACGGCUCCAGAAAAAGCCUAAUUUUUGACCCAUGUACUCUCUCUCUCUUAUUUCUCUUUUUGUAUCUUUUUCUCUCUUCUGUUCUACUCUUGGGAAUGGUGGGUUUGUUUUGGCUUUGUUGCAUUGUACUUGGUUUUGUUACUUGUAGAUGAGAAAUGCCUUCAGAAAAAGCCCUAAAUUUUACCCUCGAAUAUGUUUCAGAUAUGUAGAUUUGCCAUUUUGGGUGAUUACAAAAUGACCCAUUUACUCUCUCUUCUCCUAAUCUCGUGAAUGUUAGGUUCCUUUUGAGCUUUGUUAUCUUCGUACUUGUCUUUGUUGCUUUUGGAUGGGAAAUGGCUUAUGAAAAAGCCCUAAUUUUUUCCUCAAGUACGUCUAGGAGACAUCGGUUUGUCAUCAUUUGAUUUCAAGAUGACCCAUUUACUCUUGACUCAGUCUGGAGUCCUAAUCUUGUGAAUGCUGUGGCUUUCUUUUAGUUGUGUUGUAUUGUACUUGUUUUUGUUGCUUGUAGAUUAUAAACUGCUUCUGAAAAAAGCCCUCCUUGGGUGCUUCUCAAUUGACUACAAAAUGACCCCGUAACUCUCUCUCAAUCUCUCUUGUCAUAAUCUUGUGACCUUUGAGUGUCUUUUAGCUUUUGUUAUAUUGUACUUGUUUUUUAGUUACCUGAUGAUAAGAAAUGGCUUCAAAAAAGCCCUCAUUUUUGCCCUUUGAGUACAUGUAGGUGAUAUGGAUUUGGUUUGGGAAUGACCCAUUUAUGUAUUAUGCAGAUUGGGUUUGUCUAUUCCUGGUUUUCGUAGGAUGUGGAUGAGAAUUGGCUUCAGAAUAGCUUUAAUUUUUAGAUUUACUCUUGGGGUUUUAGAACUUUUGUCUUGAAGUCUGUCUGUCUGUCUGUCUCUCUCUCUAGUUUUGAGUUUUUGUAGAAGUUGCAUUGAUCUUUCCUUUGUGUUCUAAUUUGUAGAUCUAAAACGUGAUUGUAUGGACCAUUGUCCAUUGGAUAUAGAAAUGUUAUCAAAAAGGCUUUAGUUCUUAAGUUCUUUUUAAAGUUGGUUUGAACUUUGUGAGUUUACCUUGGACGGCGAAAUAUCUUCAUUGUUUGUUUUUUUUAAGUAUACUAUUUGUUUGUGUGCUCGCACAUCUUGCAGAGCUAAUUUCAUUUCCUUUAUGAGACAUUUCACAAGCUGAGGACUAUUUAGGUGCAUUUCAUUAUUUCAUAGUUGUGAUUUGUCCUUUGGAAAUCUUCUUCAUGAUCUGACACCAACUAGAGGUUAUGAUUUUACCAACUCGAACUUUUGCAAAUAAAUGUACUAUCGUUACUUCUCUUAAAAGGUUAUUCAUAAAAGUAAUGCAAAUAGUGAAUAAAUAACACCCAUGUAACCAUGCAUGCGAGUCAAAAAGAUCCAAGGCGCAUUUUCCAAACUCAAUAAUAUUCUCUCUUUUAACUUCUUCUCUAGUUUCUUAUUUGUGUAAUCUUAUUGAUAUCUACCUGUGAUAUAUUUGUUGGUUUACAUAUUUUAACAUGUGUAGUGUCACAAAGCCUUAUAAUAUAUCUAACAAGGUCAGCAGAAUUUUUAUAUUCUUCAAUUCUUGUUUAUUUUUCUACAUUUUUUUUUUGAUUUGUCGCAUAUUCUUGCUUAUUACCAUGUUUUAUUCAUAUGUUUUAUAUUUACUUUUGUGAUGAUUAACUGGUUUGUAUAUUGUCCAUUAUCAUUUGAUUAUUAGUUUUAUCUUUUCGUUCCUUAAGCAAUUGGGUAGUGAUUUUUCUUUUUUAUGCUUCCUUUCAUCUGACAGGUGGUUGCUAUAACGGUAUAUUUACUUCUCGUUGUUGCGUUUUAUGCCUUCUUUGCCCCCUUUCUGAGAAAGCGUAUCAUCGAAUAUGCUGUGAUGGCUGUUUAUACUCCCGUGGUAUGUGCUUACUUCGUCGAGGGAAUCUUCAAUGUUUUUUAUUGGGUUAAAACUUAAAAGUGUAUGGAGACUCUCUCAACUAUAAUCCCCAAACUUUUUUUUUAAAUUUUCUUGAUCAACAUCCAUAAACUUUUUGCUUGUUUUGAGUUAAUUUUCGUCCAUCAAAUGAAUCGGGAUUCGUUUCAACUUAACAGCGACUAUAUCAAAUUUCUGCUUCCAUUGACAUUCAACUGCUGAUAGCUAAUUGAGUGGUUUAUCUUAACCGGUACCGAUUCAACAGAUGGAAUAAAAGAAAAAACAAGCAAAGUUGAGAAGUUGCCGAUUAAAACAAGAAUAAUGCUAAAGCUGGGGAUUCUACUUCAAUAUGGUCUUUAGCUAAAGGAUCACCAUACAUUUUUUACCUUUUUUAAUUUUCACUUGAGAAACUGAAAUUACUAAUCUAUUUUAUAUCUCUUUUUCCAGGCACUUGCCGUUUUUAUCCUUUAUGUCCGUUGUACACGUAUUAACCCUGCUGAUCCUGGAAUUAUGUCGAAGUUUGACGAUGAACUCAUUAACGUACCCGCAAACAUACCCAAGAGUAAUCCUGGAUUGCAAGCGAUUAAUUUACCGGAUAAGGACGAUACCAUAAGCGGAACAAACUCUCCGUCAAUAACUUGUAGGAGCUCUUUAGAUGGUCGUAAUUCUAGAAAAGAUUCAGCUGUAGGAGAUUUGGUGGUGAAUGUUGAAAACGCCCCCCCGAGAAGAAGAAGUUCGUCGCCGUGUUGGAUCUUCGGAGGUCUUAUUUGCGCAAUAUUUGUUAAGGAGGACUGCCGGAAAGAGGAUGUAGCGGAGGAGCAGGCUGAUGGGGAAGAUGCUUUAUUUUGUACAUUGUGCAAUGCUGAGGUAAUUCACAUCAUCAAAUCUGUUUUUUCUUUUUGGGCUAGGGAGCUAAUGAACAUGUAGGCAUGAUUUCCUUUUUCCUGUUUCUUUCCCUCUUUUCCUCUUCAAUCCUCGCUGUGUGCGUGCGACGCAUGUGUACAUAUCUUAAGGGUCAAAUACUUUCCUUGAGCCUUGAGGGUUUCUCCAUUCUUUUUUUUUUGUUAUUUCGAUUUCCAAAUCUGUGAUCCUUUUGCCUGUUCAAUGAAAAGCUGCAUUUAGACGUAUUCUCAUUUCUGUCAACUCAAAACCAUUUCAUUUUUUAUUCGCCUCGCAUAUGUUUAAAGCUGAAUUUUGCUUUAGCUUCCGAUAUAAUGAAUAUGUGUAGGCAUCUUACUGAUAUAUAUAGUUUCAUUUUAUAUUCUUUUUUUGUUACUAGUAGUUAUUUAUCUUGUCAAUUUGCAGGUUCGCAAGUUCAGUAAACAUUGCAGAAGCUGUGACAAAUGUGUGGAUGGAUUCGACCAUCACUGUCGGGUAUAUAUAUAUGUUUUAAUUUUAAUAAAAAGCUCAAUUCUAUUCUUAGACCAUUGUCCAAUUUUCAUCGUCGAGGUUAAUGUUUUGUGGCAGUGGCUUAAUAAUUGCGUGGGGAGGAGGAAUUACAUAACUUUUAUCGCUCUCAUGGCCACUAGUCUCGUCUGGGUUUGUAUCAUUAAACCAUGUCAAUUUUCAUAAUCAUUUUCGUUAGUUUCGACUAAAGAGAUAUUUACAUAAAUAUACCCAUGCAAAAUUAUCUGUUUACGCAUAUACCUCCUUAAAAAUGUAUUUUUUGUUGAAGAGGCAUAUUAAAGAAGGGCAUAUGUGAACAAUUCGGAUAUUGCAGCUCAGGGGCGUGUACAUAAAUGCCUCUAACUUUUGCUACCACUUAAUCGAAUAAUGAGUCGAACAUAGUUCUAAUACUCGCAUUUAAAAAUAUGUGCCAGCUUUUGAUUGAAUUCGGAGUGGGUAUAGCUGUUAUUGUGCUGUGCUUCGUCGAUAAGAAGGCUAUGGAGAGUACUAUCGAGGAUAAGCUCGGGAAUGGCUUUUCUCGCGCUCCGUUCGCAACUGUCGUGGUAUGCUUGAAAUAUUGCCUUCUUUCACUUAAAUAAAUUACCGUAUAUUCCAAAUUACUUUUGUUGAUUUUGUUACUUCGAUGGUUCAAAGUGGGUUUUGCAUGAACGAUUCACUUUUUCUUAAUGUCAGAAUAGAUAUCAACCGUGGAUGUUCUCGUACAUGAAAAGUUAUUUUGACCCGAUUACUAGAAGUUGCAAAAACUGUAAAACACGGACCGAAAGUUCAAAACCGUAAAGAAGUGGGCUAAUUUUCUGAAAAUUUUUCCUUUGUUGCAGGCUAUAUGUACUGCGGUUUCGUUACUGGCUUGUUUUCCGUUAGGCGAGCUCUUCUUCUUCCACAUGAUAUUGAUGAGAAAGGUUUGUUCCGAAGAGAGCUCAAACUAAAAUGUUGUUCAUAAUAAACAAAGAUUUUUGUGUUUUUUUCUUUACGAAAUUUUACAUCUUUCUUCUUCAAUUUUCAAUUUUUUUCUUUUUUAAAUAAAUCUUAGGGAAUUACAACCUACGAGUAUGUGGUGGCGAUGAGAGCGAUGAGCGAGGCACCUCCAGGGUCUCAAGCCGAGGAAGAAGGGCAAAAUGUGCUCUACUCUCCGACUAAUUCCGCGACGACCGGGUUAAGCGGCGGAAGUUCGCUUGGGCUUCAAUACAAAGGUGUUUGGUGCACACCCCCUCGGGUUUUUGUCGACCAACAGGUAAAGGACCGUAUUUUUUCUUUAUCUUUUCCUUUUUUUUUCUCACAAUUUGCGCGAAAAUAUCCUUGCAUGGACUAUAAUGCCUCUGAGUGGAGCUAAAGAGUAGUUUUAAAUUCAUUGAGAGUGAUUUUAGCCUAAAGUAAUGAAAGGGGGGGUGGGGGAACAUGGAUUAAAGAUCAAAAUCGUAGAAAAUAUGGAUUUUUUUUUUCAAAAAUCCCCUAAUAUUUGUUCUCCUUUCAAAAAUCCCCUAAUAUUUGUUCUCCUUUCAAAAUCCCCUCGACUUUUGGUGUAGCUUCUCUGCUCGAAAAGUAGUGGCCAGGGGUUUGAGAAACAGAAAGUUUGCAGUUUCGAGGUGUGGUGGGAAGUUAAAUGAGUUUUUUGAGCUCCAAAAGCAGAAGCUCGAAUUUGAAUAUCCUACUUGUAGCUGUAGUAGGAAGUCGUUGAAUAGGUUUCAAUGGAAAAAGCUUUAGAGCUUCUUUGAACAGCUUUACUCAAACAGCAGUUCUGUAGCGCCAAACGAGCUCCUUGAGAGAAAAUAGCUCGAAUUUGAAUCUCCUACUUGUAGCUGUAGUAGGAAGUCGUUGAAUAGGUUUCAAUGGAAAAAGCUUUAGAGCUUCUUUGAACAGCUUUACUCAAACAGCAGUUCUGUAGCGCCAAACGAGCUCCUUGAGAGAAAAUUUUGUGCUCUAUAUCGUUGGCUGGAAAUUCAUUACACAAAACACAGCUGCUCUCUAACUUGGACCCAUUUUUUGGAUAAAUUUUUGACAGGAUGAAGUUAUCCCGCAUUUGGAACCUGGAAUGGUGCCUUCGACCAUCGAUCCUGAUGCCGCUGGGUAUUUAGAGAGAGCCAACAAGUCCAAGAAACCCGUCAAAAUCAGCGCAUGGAAGCUCGCGAAGCUCGACUCAAACGAGGCCAUCCGUGCCGCCGCCAAAGCCCGGGCCUCCUCCUCCGUCCUCCGACCCAUCGACCCCCGCAGCCGCGGGCACGAUCCUGAGAAAUACAGCUCGAGCGGCCGAAGCAGCAUGAGCAUCGAGUACAGCGCGACGAAGGACUCAAGGAGCGAGCUGAAGCUCUCCCCUCCGCAAAACUCCUACCCGCCGAGCGUUACCAGUAGGGACGACUACGAGAGUGGGACGCAGACCGCAAGCAGCUUGAGCAGCCCGGUCCGAAUCCCUGAGCCCCCGCUUGCUCGGGCCCCACUUCCCGCUGCCCGAGCCCCGCUCGCUCUCCCGCGACCGGUCGCCAAUCGGCCGCCGCCGCCGCCACCGCCGCCGACUGCUCAAGCAGCCAACCCGAUGUUUCAUCCUACUGCGACAGCUCUAGUUCGGGAUAAUCGGAGAGCUUCUGUCGUCUGGGAUCAAGAAGCCGGCCGUUACGUUUCGGUGGCCGCCCCCGCGGCUUCUCGCCCGAUUCGGGCUUCUCAACUUACUACAGGAAACCCUAGCGGAGAGACCGCUAAUUACGGAAGGAGGAACAAUCCCGCCGCCUCCGCCGCCGCUGCUUCCUCGUUAGGGUUGGGGUUCCCACUCGCGCAGCAGCAGGAGCGGCUGAUGUACACUGGGCAGUCGAUAUUCUUCGGCGGGCCGCUUCUGAAUGCUCCGACGGGAGAGAGGGAUUCAAACGCCCGGCGCGACUCAUUCCCCGUAUUCAUUCCCGGAACUUACCCGAAGAACCCUCCAUCUAACUCCAAGUGAUCUCUCUUCGUCCUCUUCUAAGUGCUUUUGUCAGAAGCAUCACAGUGCUUCUGCUGCAUGGGAUCAAAGGCUUGUGAACCGAAAUGCCAAGUGCGAGAUGAGACCCGCUUCUGGAGUUGGGAAAAGCACUUCUGCAGCUGUGAGGCGCGGCGAUCUUUGCUUCUUCGGCGGCUGUUCAGAGAUUUUAAACUCUCUCUUAGAGGAUGAAAUUGUAGUUUCAGUCGACAACAUUUUCGCUUCGUUCCGAUGUAAAUCUUUUCCUUUCGCACGACCGGUUAUACUGAUCAAAUUUAAUUUAGUUACCGUCUUAUCGAGAGAUUUAACUUUUUUUUUGUUUUUGUUUAACCUUGUUAAUUUCUCUUUGAAGUGUUGAGGUUAACAAAUUUAGUAAUUUUUAUUCAGAUGUUGUUGCUUAACAGGUGCAGGUAAAGCCAGAAAAUAAGGUGGUAAUAAAAUGGGGGCUAAUUACACUUUUGUCCUUGAAUUUGGAGGUUCCUGACACUUUGAUCUUUUAAGUUUUAAUUUGUGAUAAUUUUGGGCUUGAAUUUUUAUUGAUUGUUGCAAUUAAGUUCUACAAUUUCAUUAAGUUGAUCGAACGAUGAUGUGUCGCUGAUGUGCCAGUGCUGUCGAUGACGUGAUAAUAACUAAGAUGUUAUAUUAUUAGUAUAUCUGCGACACAUUAGUAUUUAAUCAACUUAAUUAGAUUGUGAGAUUCGUAAAAAUCUGUAUAAUUUGAGAUUAGAAAUUUUUUCAAAUUAAAAUUUGAGAAUAAAAGUGUCACACGCUCCCAAAUUUGAGGACCAAAAAUAUAUAUAUAAUUUAGCCCAAAAUGGGAUAUAAGUUGAAGUGUUGUUACAAUAUUCUGCAAAUUUUGAAAAUUUUAUUAACUUUUUAUGAACUAAAAUAUUCACUAUUAUAUUAUAUAAUAUAUAUUUUUAUCUUUUAUCAUUAGUAAGGCAAAUGAUGGAGGAUAAAAUAAAAUGAUUACACAUGAAUUAUAGAGUUAGGCUGGUAUACUAUCGGUAGCAUGGAGGCUUCCGUGCUACCAAGUUGUUUUUAAUAAUGCAGCUUCCAAAUCGACGGUCGGCUUCGUUAGAUUUGAUCUACACUAUUAAAAGUAUUUGAAAAUUAAAUUUUAUAAUUUUUCAACAUCGUUUGGCUAGUGAUCAAAAUGUCUCAAUAUUGACAAUUUGAAUGGUUGAUGUGAUGCACUUGUGAAUUUAACGGUAUAAAACAAUUCAAAUCUGAUGAAAUUUUUAUAGAAAAUUAUUUUAACUAUUUAGAGUAAGAUCAGCACCUUUGAUUUUAAAUUCAAGUAUUUUUUCAUCAUUUUUUAUGAGAUUUUUAUUUUCAGCCGUUCAUUUUUAGAUUACUCGUUUGAUAGGUAAAUGAUGUUGAAAAAUUAUAAAAUUUAGUUCCAAAUACUUUUAAUAGUGUAGUUCAAGUCUAACAGAGCCGAUCGUCGAUUUGGAAGACGCAUCAUCGAAAACAAUUUGAUAGCACAGAGGCCUCCGUGCUACUGAUAGUAUAUCCGCGUAGCUCUGAAUUAUAUAUUUUUUCUAUAUUAUUUUGAGCUAUAAGCAGUGGCUAUUAUUUCUGAUUUUAUUUUGUCAGAGGAAUCUAUCCACUAUUUGACAGGUUCCCUAAUUCCUUGGAAAGUGGUAUUAGUAUAUCUAUUUUCAAAAAGAAGCAAAUUAUUUAAAUGUUAUUAAAUUUGUUUGAAUUUAAUCAGUGAAUAAUAAGAAUAUAUUUGAUAUAUUUAUUUCUGGGUAUCAAUUCUUUGUUGGAAAAUUAUUUCUUAGCAAUAAUUUUACUGUUAAAAAAAAUUUCAAUUGUGAACAGUAACUAGUGACCAGGUUCAUUGUAUCUUCAAGCAUUCCAAAACCAACCCUAAUGUUGAUUUACAAAUUAUGAUGCAGCUAAGAGAACAGUUAUAAGUUAAAAUUUUUUAUUUUUUUAUUUUUAAGAUUAUUAUUAUUUUGUUAAUUUAUUUUAGGGUUAUUUUUUAAUAUUUCUUUAGGUAAUUUUUUAUAUGGAAUGAGUUUCUAAAAAUUAGGGGAUAUAGAUUUAGAGGUUUUAAAUUAGAUUUAAAUAUAUUUGUACUAGAAAAUUUAUUAGAAUUAAGUUAUCUGAUUAGGAAUAGUAUUAUGAUAUGAUUUAUUAUAGAUAGGCUUGAUAUUUAUUGUAAAAAGAAAGUUUUGGUAUUUAUUGGUAUUUUCAGCCUACAUCAAAGUGACAAAAAGUUUAAUAUUUGAUAUCCGAGACCCCAAAUUUAAACUGUGAUUGUUUUGCAUUUUAGACUCAAUUCAUUUUAAAAAUUGAACAAAGCGAUGGCAUAUUACCACUCUCUCAAAAACAAUAAUAUCUCAACCAAUGGAAAUUUUUUUUUUUAAAAAGUUAGCAUACAAUUAUUAUAGUGUAUAUAUAUAUAUAUAUAUACUAUUAUUAUGUUCCAACAUUUAUAUAGUAUAAUAUUUAGAGUGAGGCUACUAUCCUUCUGGAAGCACGGAGCCUUCCGUGCUUUCAGGUUGUUUUCGAUGUUGCGACUUUCAAAUCGUCGAUUGACUCCGUUAAAUUUAAUUUAGAGUAUUUGAAAUACCUAGAAAAUAAAUUAUGCGAUUUUUGAAUAUUAUUUGCUUAGCGAACGAAGGGGCUCAAAAUCAACGGCUGAAAAUAAAAAUCUUACAAAACUUGAUAAUAUGACAUUAAAAUUUUAGAUCAAAGAUAUUGAUCUUAUUUUAUAUAGUAUAAAGAAUUUUUUAUCAAAAUUUUACAUGAUUUGAAUAUUUCUACACCGUUAAACUCGCAAACGGCUCACUACGGUCAUUAAAAUUAUUUAUUUUGAGCCCCUUCGAUCACUGGGCAAAUGGUAUCGAAAAAUUAUAAAAUUUAUUUUCUAGAUACUUCAAAUACGCUAGAUCAAGUUUAACGGAGCCGAUCGACGAUUCGAAAGUCGCAACAUAAAAAAUGAUCUGAAAAUACAGAAGGUUCCGUGCUUCCAAAAGUAUAGUAACCUCAGUCUAAUAUUUAUAUUUAUUUAUUUAUUUUAUAUAUACCCAAUUAGGUGGAGUUUUCCUUAAAAAACAUCUCUUUCCAUUCCUCUUUUACUUUAAUCCUGACUCACUCACUCUCUCUCUCUCUCUCUCUCUCUCUCUCUCUCUUCAUCUACGUUUCUCCUCUCCUUCUCUAAAGGAACCAAAAAGAUUUUUUUAAUUAAUUUUUGUAUUUUUAAUACCGCUUGAAGAUGCUAACCAGGGCCUCCAUGAAGGUUUCAUUUCCAUCUCUUGUCUUUUUUUUUCAAAUUUUUUUUUUCUGUAUAAAAUGAAGUAGUUUUUUGAACCCAUUUUGGGCCACCACGCAUAUGAUGAUGAAAUUUUUAUGGUGUUGAUUGUAUUUGGGGCGUUAAACAAUUUGAUUACAUUUUCCAUCUUAUUUUAGUUCACAGGUGUAUUCUAUUUACCCAAAAUGAGUUUUUUUUUUUUUUUUUUUUUUUUUGCCUUUUUUUGGAUAUAAUUUUGGUAUGUUUAGAUCAAAAUUCUGAAUUAUCUGAUUUGGUAGCAGGAUUUUUGGCCAAGAUUCUACCUUUUAUCUUUUCCUUGCUUGUUUCAGAUCACAUUAGAGUUAGUAGGUGGGAAAUGGAAAUGCAUGAUAACAUGCACAUGUGUAUACUUCUUAUUAAAUGAAUUUAGAGGCUAAUACUUAUGUGUUGUUGAUUCUAAUCCAUAAUUGUUCAAAAGUUUUUGAUUAAUUCAGUUUCAAUCUCUCUAGGACCUAAUUUGUAUCACAAAUUCCAAUUUUUUUCCUUAAAUUUUCACACAACUUUAAAUUAUGCAUAAAAUUCCACCUUUUUUUUUGUUUUUUUCUUCAACAGGCUAGAAAUGUUAUGAGGCAUGUUGCAAGUGUCAGUGGAUUGCAGAAACAUAUGCCUCGAUGCGCUUUUACUUCAUCCAUGAGACCGAUGAGUUCUGAGGCUUCUCUUCGAGCUGCGCCACCGGAAGAGAAAGGGUAAAAAAAGAUUUUCAAUGUGUCAAAAAGUUUGCUAUAUAUGACUUUGGGGGUUUUGCAGAAACAAUCCCUUUCCUUUUCGACUUUGUAGCUCUGUAAUCUGUUACUACCGUUAAAUUAUUUGGCGAUAAAAUGUUUUGUGGUGUGAUUCAAUCAUUGUUCUUAGGUUUAAGGGGCAUGACAUGUUAGCACCUUUCACUGCCGGAUGGCAAAGCUCGGACAUACACCCGCUAAUCAUCGAAAAAUCAGAGGUAGUAAGUGAGCAUUUCGCUUUAGUCUACGGUAGUUUCAAGAUCUGAUAAAGAUUCGUAGUUCCUAUAAUUUUAGCCAUCAUUUUACAAAUUAAGCCUUCUUUUUAUUAUGCUGUUAUAUUCCUGUUUUAUGCCUGCGUAAUAAUUAGUUAUGUGGUGAAUGUCACAGGGUUCUUACGUUUAUGAUAUCAACGGGAAGAAGUAUCUAGAUGCGUUGGCCGGACUAUGGUCCACGGCUUUAGGUACCGAAAAACUGCUUCUAAUUUAAACUCAAUUGUUCACUGCAUUUUCGAGACCAUCAUACAAUUUCAUGUAACGCGGGAACUGUAACAGCUAAUUGCAAAAUCUGAAUGUUAUUACACUUGAAAUUGCAAUUUCGUGCAAAAAACUGCAAAUAGAUGCUUGCAGGGGCCUUAAAUUUUUGUGUUCUUAGUACGUACAAGCAUAUUUAACUUAUUUCUUUCUUUUCUAGUAUCUGGUAGAUAAUGUUUCGAAACCAAGAAAAGUUUCAUUAUUAGUAUGGUGGACUAUUCGGAACAAUUUAUGUUUUUAUUUUGCUUUUAAGUUUUAACAAUUUUCAGGUGGAAAUGAGCCUCGGCUUAUCAAGGCCGCAACCGACCAACUGAACAAAUUGCCGUUUUACCAUUCCUUCUGGAAUCGAACAACGAAGCCCUCGCUGGUAUGUAUUAGCCCUUAAAAAGUUUUAUGUCUUUUUAUUUGCUCAUUUUACCAUCGUAUUUUCGUUACAUUGCUUAUUCAUAUUAGAACAGUUUUUUGGUCUGUAAAUAUUUGAACUUGGAGUCCAUACUAUGUUAUAGUUUGAUCAAGUUUUGUUCCCAAUCUCCUUUUAUUUGUUGGUUUAUAAUGCUGGUGAGCAAUUUCGCCAACUCUUUUGAAGAUGUAUGUUUGUGCAGGAUCUUGCAAAAGAGAUUCUCGAGUUUUUCACAGCAAGAAAAAUGGGAAAAGUCUUCUUCACCAACAGUGGCUCCGAAGCCAACGAUUCGCAGGUUUGUUUGUCUGCUCCUCGCGAAACUACUGCAGCGACUGUUCGCUUACGUACUAUUUUUUUCACAAAUACAAUAUUACAAUCUAAUAGCUUUCCUUGGAGAUGUAACUCUUUAAUUUGUAAUCGUUCAUUGCUUUAGUUCGAAUAUAGAUAGUAUGACUACACUAGUUAAGUUUUUUGAAAAACUAUAUCGAAAUUUCGACGUUUACAUAUUAAACGUUAUGAAGAGGCCUGAUAAAAGCUUAAGCUUUUGGGGAACGAACUUACCUUUUUAUUUAGUUUUCAUCCAUUACAAGUUUUAUGUAUUUAUUAUAGAGUUGAAUGUGAUCUUUCUUUUACAUGUCUUCACCUUUAUCCGUUCGGAAUUAAUGUUAAUAUCUUCUCUAAUCCACAUUAAUAAGAAAUUUCAAUCAAGAUCAUUACUUAGAUGUUCGCAGAUUUAUUUUUCUCUCUUUUCAGGUAAAGCUUGUUUGGUACUAUAACAAUGCGCUGGGGAGGCCGAACAAGAAGAAAUUCAUAGCUCGAUCGAAGUCGUGAGUUUUUAGCUUAUUCGCUUGCGCCCGUCCGUUCCUCACCGCACUUCAAAAUUUUCGAUGAUCUUUUGAAUAGCCUAUUCUUUUGCCCCUAUAAUUUUUCGUUUUCUAUGCUUCGGCAGGUAUCACGGAUCGACAUUAAUAGCGGCUAGCCUUUCCGGGUAAGUCGAAUACGGCGCAUUUCCAAGCUCAUUUGAAUUGCUUUAUUCAAUUUAAAACAAUUCGACUUGAAUUUGUUGAAUUUUCAGUCUCCCUGCUCUGCACCAAAAGUUCGAUCUACCUGCGCCGUUUGUGUUGCACACGGAUUGCCCUCACUAUUGGCGCUUCCAUCUCCCCGGUACUCAUUUAGUUUGAUCCAUUUUAUAUUCUUCUUUUUUUUAAAAAAAAAUAGUCCAAAAUUUUCAUUUUUUCAACUGUAAGGAAAAUUUUAAAAUAAUAUAGUUAUUUUGUCCUUUGACUUUUAGUGAAUGGAUGCAUGAAUGUGAAAGGAUGUGACUUUUUAUUUGAUCAUAAUUAUCAUUUAGAUGUAUGACCCGUUCGUGGUCUAUAUGCCUAUAGUGCUGAUUGCUGAAGUACAUAUGAAAAGUUCAAGUCUCCAUUCAUAAUAAUUUCAUUUUUGUUUCGUAUUCUCUUUCUUUUUGAUAACUUAAUCGAGUGAAUGCUCAAAGGUUCGACUUCGUAUGUGCAAACGUUGUUGGAUUUUAUACUUCAUUAUAUUCUGGGAGGCUAUUCGUUGACCCAGUGUACGCCAAAUUGCCUGAACAGCGGGGACGGAUUAAGCCUUAAGGAGAGUGACUUUGCUACACGCCUUGAAGCCUUUUUCAUUUUUCUACUUCAUAUACUUUUUAAGAUUUUUGAUACAGCAACAACUUGGGUCAAACACUCUUUUCAUGGAUUUAGAACAUCAUUACAAAAUCGAAAAAUUUAGUUUCCGCAAUAUGCCCUACAUUGUGUUCAUGAUCUGUUUCCUAAAAUUUAGAAUUAUAUUUACUCUUAAAUACUUUUAGGCGAGACGGAGGAGGAAUUCUCGACCAGAUUAGUGAACAAUUUGGAGAACCUUAUUCUCAAAGAAGGACCUGAGACGGUAUUUUAUCUUAUUCUAUAUUUUUUUCUCAAAAAAUUUCAGAGAUUUUGUAACACGCAGAAAAAUGAUUCAGUGGUUGUUCUUCAGAUUGCUGCUUUUAUCGCCGAACCCGUUAUCGGUGCAGGCGGAGUUAUCCUUCCUCCAAAGACGUAUUUCGACAAGGUGAUUAUCAUAAAAUUUAUCGACCCAUUAUUCGAUGUAAAUUCUCGUCGUAAUUGUCGAUGGUUGUAUCAAAUAUGCAUGAAUUAUUAGCUAAUAUACACAUAAAUUUAAUCAUACAUGCAAUUUUACUUCACAAGGUAUAGUUUUUUUAUUCUUUUUUCCUGAUUUCGCAGGUUCAAGCUGUUCUAAAGAAGUAUGAUAUUCUUUUUGUCGCAGAUGAGGUACUUAAUUUUCUCAUUUUAACUUUAUAACACACACACACACACACACACACACACACACACACACACAAAAGUGUACAAGUACUGACAUUUUUUUUGUAUAUAUAUAUAUAUUGUAAGGUUAUUACUGCUUUUGGAAGAUUAGGGAUGAUGUUCGGGUGCGACAAAUACGACAUUCGACCUGAUCUUGUUUCUAUAGCCAAAGUGAGUCCUUUUACUUUUGGUCAAUUAAUGCAUAAUAUUAGCGAAACUUUUCAAUUUUAUCUUUGUUAUAUUUUAGGCUCUUUCAUCUGCGUAUUUGCCCAUCGGCGCAAUUCUCGUUAGCCCGGAAAUAUCAGAAGUAAUACAUUCUCAGAGCAGUAAACUUGGUAAGCAUGUAAAAUCCCCUGCACCAUGCAUUGUUAUGUCGCAAAAGCGUGUUUCGACACCCCUUAACUUUAGCUCAUUUGAAUUAGGUCUCGGUACUUAUUUUUUUCAUUUUAUUUCUUAUUUUCUUUGGAUUUUGAAUCCCUAAUUCGACAUGCUGCGUGAUUUCAUAAGAUUCCCCAGAAAAUAUACUAGAAAAGAGUUUUUUGACUGGAAGAGUAUUUUCCGUCUGUUCGGUUCCUUUGAAAACGUAGUUUUCCUGAAGAAGUUUUUCUCCAGAUUUCAUGGAAAAGUAGUGUUUUCGUUUUCCAAACAUUUUAUCUGGAAAGCGAAAACUAUGGAAAAGGUUAUUUUCUGUGCGAAACAUUUUUUUUUUCCUUGGAAAACAGUUUUCCAUACUUUUGCAAGUUCGAAUUCUCAAACUAUCAAAUCGCAUUAUCGCAGGAUCGUUCGCUCACGGAUUCACAUACUCCGGUCACCCUGCGCCUUGUGCUGUUGCUUUGGAGACUCUUAAGAUUUAUAAGUAAAUCCUUUUACUCUUCAUUUUCGUGACUUUUCGGUAACAAAUUAUUUCGAUAAAAAGAGUGUUAGUUUUGUGCACUACGAACUUGAAAUAAGCAUGAUUCCCUCCAUAUUUUUAUGAGUUUCUCAUUUUGGUCCCGUAACCAAUCCUCUGUUGUACUCGCAACAUGCGUAGUCCACAAAGCCGCAUACGUUGUUGUGAGCUGCGGCCAAUUUGGGCGUAGUUCCAACUGCGGCAGUUGAGUCUUCUUAUGCAGUUCCUACUACAACAGUUGAAUUCAAAUGCAUCAAACCGAGCAGCGAAUUUAGAUCUGCACGCAAUUGCAACUACAGCGCAGUUGCAACUGCGCGCAACCGAACCUCUACUAUUUGAUGAAUCUUAACAAAAAUUAAACAUGAUUUUUAGGGAGAGAAAUAUCCUUGAACAUGUAAAUGCUAUUGCGCCGAAAUUCCAAGAGGGCAUUAGACAAUUCUCAUCAAGUCCCAUAAUUGGAGAGGUAAUUUUCAAUUUUUUUUCUUUUCACUUAUCAACUAUAAUUAUUAUUAUUUUUUCCAAAUUAUAUAAAUAAUGGUUAUUUUUCACACAGAUACGCGGGGAAGGGUUGGUUCUCGGGACCGAGUUUACCGACAACAAGUCUCCGAAUGAUACAUUUCCUCCGGAAUGGGGUUAUUACUCCGAUUUUUGUUUUUUUUUUUAAAUGAACUUUGAGAAAAUAAUUAUGGAUAGCUUUAUAUUGAAAUAAUUAUGCAAAUGACUAAAAAUUGUUUUAGGGGUCGGUUCGAUAUUCGGGUCGGAGUGUGAGAAGCACGGGUUAUUGAUUCGGGUCGCGGGUGAUAGCAUAAUGAUGUCUCCACCACUGAUAAUUUCUCCAAAUGAAGUAGACGAGGUAUUAUGAUUUAUGAUGUAGAGUUCAACGUGCUUGUGAUUUUUCAACCGUCAGAUUGCCUCAAGAUCUGUGUAGCACUCGUAAAGGAUGCACGGAUCUUGAGGCGGUCCGACAGUUAAAAAGUCACAAGCACAUGCUUCUGUACUUUUAAAAGCAUAGGAGCUCAACUCUUAUGAUGUAUAUAAUUUUUGUGUCAUUCUUAUUAUUAUAAUUAUUUUUUGCCUCUCAAAAGUUUGAAACCAUUUCGUAUCGCCCCUCGAAAGUUUGAAAUAUUAUGAUAUGCUCCUGUAAAAAUACAAGUAGUUUUUUAAAUGCUCUUUUCGGAGGAUAUUUCUGAGUACCACAAACACAUUAUAAGGGGAUUUUUUUUUUUUUUUUUUUGAGAGGCAAAAAAUAAUUAGUUUGAACAUUCAAAUUUAAAUUUUUUAAAAUUUUGAAACUUUUCUUUUUGAUGUUUCAGUUGAUAAGCAAAUACGGAGAAGCCCUGAAGAGCACAGAGGAAAGAGUUGCUCAGCUGAAAUCUCAGGAGAAAAUUUGAAGCAAAAAAAUUUAACUUCUCUUUCGAGUUGUCGAAUUCGCGAAUGCAUGUACACAAAUAAUUUGACUUGUUUUAGUUGCUAAUAAAUGGAUUAGCGAAAAAUUGUUCUUGGGCUCGAGAAAAAGAUCAUUGUUAUGAAUUUAUCUAUCUUAAAGAUCCCUUUUUUAUUCUCUCAAUUUGGGUUCAUUAUCUCUAGUGUUUAAGCUAAUCAAUUUGUUUUGGAAUGAUUUUUUUCUUUUUUUUUUCUCUUUUCUUUUGCGAUCGAUAAUUUAUUUUAUUUAUGAAAAUAACUUGGAGGUCAAAUAUGAUUAAUAUUGACAUAUAAAUAUUGAAUAUGAUCUUAAUUUUUUUAUGCGCUAUCUUUUCUGGUUAGUUAUUAUUGAUAAACUAUGUGCAUUGAAUUUGGUCAGAGGUGCUGAUAUAGUAAACGUGGACCAGAUACUAAACCGACAAACGGGGCCCGUUGGACGAUCCGUGGAUGGGUCAUCAGUUCCGCGGAUCAUUUGGGUAUGGGUAGAAUUUAUCCGUACCCGCUCGCCGGCGGGCUGGCGGGUUACUUGCAAGGUGCUCUUUUUUUUUAUUUUUUAUUCUUAUACUUUUCAAAUACUAUAUAUAGAGUCCGGCUGGAAUACUAUCGAUAGAACCAAGCGUUUGGUGCUAUCAAGUUUCUACUGUUAGAUUUAACUCUUUGACUAUUUUCACCUGCUAGACUAUAGUAUUAAAUCAAUAACUCACUCAAUCCUAAGGGCCCACAUCUCUCUCUCUCUCUCUCUCUCUCUCUCUCUCUAUAUAUAUAUAUAUAUAUAGAAUUAGGCUGGAAUACUAUUAAUAGUAAAACGCUCUUUUUGCUAUCAAAUUUUUAACCCUUGAAUAAAAAUUGUAAGGUCGGGAUGAUAUAAGUCGGUUAGAGUUGAGUGGUCCCCCUAGGGUUGAGUGGUCCCCACUAGGUUAUAGUAUUUAAUCCAAUGGUUAGAAAUAAUGAAAAGAGUUGAUCCAAAGACUAAAAAACUGGUAGCAACAAUGGAAUUUUGCUACUAAUAGUAGCCGAGUCCAACUCUCUCUCUCUCUCUAUCUCUCUCUCUCUCUCUCUCUCUCUCUAUAUAUAUAUAUAUAUAUAUAUCUUACAGGAGUCCGACUGCUAUGCUAUCGAUAGCAUCAAGCUAGCACUUGGUGCUAUAAAGUUUUCUGCCGUUAGAUUAACCCCUUUGAUUAUUUUUACCCGUUAUAUUAUACUAUUCAACCAACCACCCACUCAACUCUAGGGGGUCCAUAUCAUCCUAACCGCAUAUUUCUCAAUCCAAGGGUUAAAAAGCUAAUAACACAAAUAACUUUGUGCUAUUGAUAGUAUGCCAGCAUAAUUCUUUUUACAGAUACCUACAAGUCACCCCAAAAUACCUUAAUUUAACGGGUACUUGCCCGUUUUAACCGUAAUAUUUUGGGUGAAAACAUUAGUGCCGAUACCAGCAAAUUUGUGGGUAACCCGCGGGCACGAGUAGUAUUAGUAACCCUUCCAAUACAAGUGGUGGCAUAUAUUAUAUAAUUUAAUUUGAGAAUUUAAAAUAGUGACAAAAAUUAUUUGUCAUGCCGUCUUAGCUCAGCCGGUAGAGCGCAUGGCUUUUAACCAUGUGGUCGUGGGUUCGAUUCCCACAGACGGCGUUCUUGUCAAUAACUUUCAUGUUUUUUUUUUAAAAAAAAAUAUAUUAGAUAAAAGCGAUCUUCUACUCCCUCAUCACUAUCAAAAUUGAUAGUUUAUUGAACAAUUUUAUUUAAUUUAUAUGUAACGUCAUUUACAAAUUUACUUUUAUAAGGUUUCACUGUUAAAUUCGCUGGUCGUUUUAGAAUUUUGAAUUUAUUAUUGUUCAUAUUUUUUUAGAAAUCAACUUAGCUAUAAACAGAAAGCAAUUAGACUUAAACUUAAAGACUUUUUGUUACUUUCACUAGAGACGGACAGUAAUUGAUGCAAUUCUUAAUACAGAGAAUAAUUGAGACGAGAACGCUAAAGUAAUUGCCGCAAUUCUUUUUCUCUGAGAAAAAGACAGUACGUUAUCUGCUUCGGUUUUUUUUUUUUAUAAAAAAUAAAUUUAGUUAGAAAUAUAAAGCAACUACGCUAUAAACUUAAGACGUUGACUAUCAACUAUCAAGUUCUUUAUUGCUUGCGCUAGGAAUAAUCAGUGAUUGACGCAAUUCCUAAUGCAAGUAAUAAUUGAGAAGAGAACUGGAGUGUAAUAUGGUGUGAUGUAAUGUAAACUAAUUUAAAUUAGGGUUAAUUUCAUACAGGUCCUUGCUACAAAAUUUGAUUUUUAUAUAUUACUCUUAGAAAAGUCAUAAUGUUUUCAAAUAUGUCAAUCUGGUUUGUUACUGUUAAAAUACUGUUUACUUUAUAAACGAAAUAACUUUUUUGUCAUCAUAAAUAUAUUUUUCCAAAAGUCCCAAAUAUUAAUUAAAGAGGGAUAAAAAUAUCAAUUUAUCUCAUUAACUAACUAGAGUUAAGUAUUUUACCUAUGGUUAAUUAAUCUUUUUUAAUGGAUCCUAACGACAGUAACGUAUUUGAAAACAUUAGGAAUUUUGUAGGAACGACAUAUGAGAGUUAAACUUUGUAGGAAUAUAUUUGUAAUUCACUAUAUUUGUAGGGACGUAUACGAGAUUAACCCUUAAAAUUACUAUUUUUUUAUCCAAGCUGUAGUGGUGGCCCAGGUUCAGCAAAUAUUCUCUCUCUAUAUUAUGUACUUAUGUUAUAUGUAGAGAGAGAGAGAGAGAGAGAUAUUUGUUUCUCUAAACUCUUAUUUCUCCUUAUCUCUCCUCCACCAUAAAAACCACAUCCAAUUUCUUCAAAUGCCCAUGUAAUUAAUGGCCUUUAAUUCCUUUUAUUUGUCAUUGUUGCAAAUUAAUUCAAUCUUAGUUGAUAAAUUUGCUCUCUUUUUUUUUGGGUUACUUUUCUUGGAUUUCCUGCUAAAUUAUAAAAUAAUUAUUCCAUGCAAUUUAGAUGUUGGUGUUCUUUUUAAUCAAUUGGGUUCAUUUUGUUUGGUUGAGUAGUUGGGUUUUUUAAAUUAAAUCAAACAAAUGUUCUUAUAUGAUCUUUUUUUUCAUUAAAAAAAGUUACAAAAUUGUGCAUCCUAAAUCCCUCCUAUGAUGCUCUAUUUUGUUUCAGUUUAUAAAUUAUUCAAUGCAAUUCAGAUUUGGUAUUCUUUUUUUCCUUUUUUUUUUUGAGUUGGGUAAAAUCUUUUAUUUAAUUGGUUUUUUUUUUUUUUUUUGGUUUGGUUGCAGCAUUAGGUUUCUAACAUAAAUCAAGACAAAUUUCUGUAUAAAAAUUACCGUUUUACAGACGAUUUUUCACUAAAAAAUUAGGCAAUUUCAAUUUGUUCAAGUUCAUUCUCAUAUAUUACUUAUUCUAUUGCCUCUAAUUUUUUUUAUUGCUUGUAAUGCAACUUUGAAUGUAAUAGGGUUCUCACGACAAACCAUAAAUUAUUAUAUUACUAUAUAGUAAUAUAUAUAUUCUAAUUUAACAAGCAAAUUUCUUAUAACAAUUAUCUUUUACAGCAUCAUUGCAAUUUUGCAUUUGUUCAAUUCCAUUUGAUAAGUUGGCUUCUAUUUGCCCUAAUUUUUUUUUGUAUGUAUACAAAUUUGAAUGUGAAUUAGGGUUUUCACACACACACAUAUAUAUAUAUUCUAACUUAAAUCAAGCAAAUUUCUUAUAACAAUUAUCUUUUAUAGCAUCAUUUUUCAUUAAGAAAUCAGCAAUUUUGCAUUUGUUCAAUUCCAUUUGACAAGUUUGCUUACAUUUGCCCUAAUUUUUUUUGUAUGCAUCCAACUUUGAAUGUGAAUUAGGGUUCUCACAUAUACAUAUAUUUCAUAGAUUGAUGAGUGAGGCAGCUUUGUGUUAUCCGAUCGCGAAAUCGGCGACCAAAUUUGCCGGUUUUGAGAAUGCUCUGAAAGAGAGUGGCAGGAAUUUCAAUGUCGAUGUCGACAGAAAGAAUCAUCAGGACAGUGUUUUUCUCGACAAGCGCGGGAAGUGGCGAACAUUCGAUCCGAAAAAGCUGUCCAGGAAAAGAGGUAACAAGUUUUUGUAAUCGAUAUCGCGAAACCAGCAAUUGCAAUUCGCAAUCUGCAAUUAACCCUUGAAAAGGUGGUUCUCUGAGGGGCCGCGGGUGGAAAUACGGUUCCGGUUUCGUCGACGGCGUGAUCCCUGUUCUUAGCCCGAUGGCAGACCAAAUCCUCAAAUUCGUUCAGCAGGAAACCGAUGCCGCCAAAAUCUGGCGGUCGUUUAAUCGUCUCCCUCCUACGCACAAUCUCUGGGACGAUUUGAUCAGCGUCGCCGUGCAGCUUCGCAUAUUCAAGCAGUGGGAUCCUGUGAUUGCGGUGAGAAGUGUUUUCGGUUUGUUUCUGCAACUUGCAAUUUACAUGCACUGCGGUAAAAAUUCGAGUUUUCGUAUGUAUGUUUGCGGAAGAACACGAUUCAUGCUCGUAGUUUAGGUAUGCGAGUGGAUAUUUUACAAGAGUCCGUUCCGUCCCGACAUAAUCUUCUACAACUUGCUGAUCGAUGCGUUCGGUCAGAAGCGUCAGCUGGAUAAAGCAGAAGCGGUUUACUCGCGGCUUCUGGAAGCGCGGUGCGUGCCGACCGACGACACUUACGCACUUCUUCUGAGGGCUUGUUGUAGGUCGGGAUCGCUCCACAAGGCCGAGGCUGUGUUUACUGAGAUGCGGAAGAACGGCAUUCCUCCGAGUAUGUUUUUCUCCUCGAAUACUCGCUUCUUGUGCGGACCGCAGUUCGCGAUUUUGUGAAGUUGUUCGUAAUAUUCGUAUCGCUAUUAAAUCAUGAAUUUAUGCAGAUUUGAGCGUCGAUUUUGCUCAGGUGUGGUUGUUUACAACGCGUAUCUCGACGGAUUGUUGAAAGGAAGAUGCACUCAGAAGGCGAUCGAGAUUUUUCAGCGGAUGAAGAAAGAUCGGUGCACGCCGUCCACCGAGACUUACACAUUGAUGAUAAAUAUCUACGGAAAGGUUAUUAUUCUUUCGUUUUCUCUUUUACUAUGUCUAAAUGAUGGGACAUCCGAAUCGAUGCUCGGCUAAUAUAAAGUGAAUCUGAGACCACUUAAUCACCGGAAAAAUGAUGAUGUUGAAGAAUCGUGAAAUUUGAGUUCUUAGAAAGUUCAAAUAGAGUAAGAUAAUGUUUAUCAGCGCCGAUCGUUGGUUCAGAUACUCUAUCGCCGGAAACGUCACGAAAGUAAACGAGAUUGUUUACUUCUCGAAGCAUUCUAGCCUACUCUUAUAAGAUAGAGUGAUUCUCGAACAGGCGAACCAAUCGGCGACGGCCUUGAAGUUGUUCAAUGAGAUGAAAACCGAAAAAUGCAAGGCCAAUAUCUGCACCUACACUGCUCUUAUCAAUGCAUUCGCGAGGGAAGGGCUUUGCGAGAAAGCAGAAGAAGUGUUCGAGCAGUUGCAAGAAGCCGGGCACGAGCCCGAUGUUUACGCCUACAACGCUCUCAUGGAAGCUUACAGGUAAAAAAAUCGACAAUUUGGCGCCGAAUUUAGAUUCUAGCGCGAGCUAAGUCGAUGAAUUUUUGAAUUUCCGAAUGGCUGCUGGCUCAGUCGCGCAGGUUUCCCGUACGGCUCUUCCGAGAUCUUCUCUCUGAUGCAGCACAUGGGAUGCGAGCCCGAUCGCGCUUCAUACAACAUAUUGGUCGACGCGUUUGGUCGAGCCGGCCUUCACGAAGGUGCGUGAACUCGAAAUGCUCGGUUUCAUAUUGGUUAUAUCUAUAAGAAACCGUACUUUCGACGCUUACGUGCGAGAACGAUCACGCUUACUCUUAUAGAUGCGCAAGCUACGUUCGAAGAGCUAAAGAGGCGCGGCAUGACCCCCACCAUGAAGUCCCACAUGCUCCUUCUCUCGGCCUACUCGAAAGCUGGGAACAUCCCGAAAUGCGAGGAGAUCAUGAACCAGAUGCACGAAUCGGGCCUCGAGCCCGACACAUUUGCGCUGAACUCGAUGCUCGACGCGUACGGUAAAGCCGGGCUUUUCGACAAGAUGGAGCAAGUGCUCUCCAAGCUAGAGACCGGCCCGUACGCGACCGACGUCAGCUCCUACAACAUCUUGAUCAAUGUGUAUGGGCGCGCGGGGUUCUUCGAUCGAAUGGAGGAGCUCUUUCGGUGCAUUCCGCGUAGAGGACUAAAAGCCGAUGUCAUAACGUGGACUUCGCGGAUAAGUGCUUAUUCACGGAAAAAGCAGUAUGAGAAGUGCUUGGAUUUGUUUGAAGAGAUGAUUGAUUCCGGGUGCUACCCCGACGGCGGGACCGCGAAAGUGCUUCUCGCGGCGUGUUCUAGUGAGGAGCAGGUUGAGCAAGUCACUGCAAUUGUGAGAUCCAUGCACAAAGAAGCAAAAUGUGUGUUUACUAUUUGAAUAUUUUUGGUCCCAUGCUCGUGAUUUUUUAGCCGUCGGAUUGUCUCAAAAUUCACGCAGCACUAAUAAAGGAGAAUGAGUGGGACACAUCGUUAAUAGUGUUAUAUGGAUCUUAAAGUGAUCCGAUGGCUAAAAUGUCACAAGCACAAGUACUACUGUGCUCCUAUGCUAAAAAGUACAGGAGCUGACUCUCAAAGAGUUGAGCUCAUUAAAAGCACAGGAGCUAAACGUAUUUGUGAUUUUUCAGCUGUCGGCUUGCCUUAAAAUCAGUGCAGCACUAAUAAAGGGGACUUAGUGGGACACACCGUUAAUAGUGUUGUACGGAUCUUAAAGUGAUCUAACGGCUAAAAUGUCACAUGCAUAGAUGCUCCGGUACUUUUAGCACAGGAACUCGACUCCCAAAGAGUUGAGCUCAUUAAAAGCACAAGAACUAAACGUACUUGUGAAUUUUUACCUGCCGAAUUACCUUAAAAUCCGUGCAGCAAGUUAAUAGUACUGUAUGGAUCUUGAGACGACUCGAUGGUUAAAAAGUCACGAGCACAAAUGCUCCUGUGCUUUUAAAAGCGCGGGAGCUCAACUCUUGGUCCAAAUUAACUUUUUUUUUGUAAAAUAGUUUAAUAAUUUUUUUGCGUAAAUUGUGCGUCGGUGUUAAUAUUAUUUUGUUGCUACUAGCUAACUAUUGUAGAAAAAAUAUAUAUAUAUAUAUAAGAAUUUAAUUUGAUUUUCUGUUAUUUUGUUAUUAAUAUAUUUGGUGAAAAUUGUGAUGAUGUCAUAAAUGGUGAAUUUGUGCUCUUUGAGGAAUCAUAAGGAGUUUCAUAAGCUAACAAGAUUGGAUUACACUAGAUAUGCUUAAUAUCCAUAAACUGUAGGGAUUACGAUGCAAAAUUACUCUUAUUUUAUAUUGUAUUUGAUCAUCAAAUUUAGAGAGAGAGAGAGAGAGAGAGAUGCGACCACUUUAGUGUUAGAGUUACUGGAAAAGUAUAACUCAACUAAGCUCAUUCGAAAAUUUAGUUGAAUUUGAUAUUUUUUACAAUCGACACGAAAAAUCUUUAAACGGUAAUAAUUUUUUCAUUAAGUGUCCGAUUUCAGCGCAUAAUUUCAAUUUGAAAAGUAAUUUUAAAAAUCUACGCAUCAAAUGGCAAAACCACUCCAAUCGAGUUUAAAACCCAAAUUCAACUGUUUUGGCCUCCAUUUUUAUCUUUUUUGGCUAUUUGUGAAAAAAAAUUAUAUUUUAUUAUUUUGAGUCUUACUACCCUAAGGUUGAGUGAAUUAUUAAUUUAAUAGUAUAAUCUAACGGGUAAAAUAAUCAAAGAAUUAAAUUUAACGGCAAAAAACUUGAUAGCACCAAACGCUUGAUGUUAUCGAUAAUAUCCCAACUGGACUCUCUCUCUCUCUCUCUCUCUCUCUCUCUCUCUAUAUAUAUAUAUAUAUAUAUAUAUAUAUAUAUAUAUAUAUAGACAAAGAACAAAACUAGAGGGUACUAGAAUCACUGUUAUAUUCUCAUUGUAUCAAAAUUACUGCAGGAAAUACACAAAGAGUAUUCAUCAACUAUGAGAGAGUACAAAGAACAAAAACAAGAAAAAGUUGAUGCUAAACUCAGAUACAUCAUAAAAUGCAUAGCUAAUCCUACAAAAGUUACAAAAUGAAAAUAGAAAAAAAGAGAGGCUAAAAUGGAUACAACCCCCUCCCUUACUCCUGCGACGAGAUAAUCAAAACCGAGUACAAGAUGAUGAAGUGUAACAUGCGAUAUAUCGAGGAGGGAUUUUGUUUGUAUUUUUAGUCACGAAAAAGAAAAGCUCGGCGGCGUCUGUUUCUCAUGUUUUGAUCUUCCAAUUGUGGGCGCUGCGGACUCCGCUGGCAAUGCCUUGGUAGUACCGCGACUCGAGAUUUCGACUAUUCCACUCUUUGACGAAUUUCGAGAAGAGGUCCCUGGCGGCGUCGGAUGAGAGGUCGGAGAAGUAUAUCCCUCGCUCUUCUUUCAACCAUGUUGCGAACUCGUUGUUCUUCGAGAAGUAGUCGUCCUUCGACAGCUCCUUGAAAUCCUAUUUCCGAGAGGCCAAAAAAGCAUCAGAACAAAAGAUGCAAAGGAAAACACGAGAAAGAAAUUUUUUUUUUUUUCGCUCUCGCUCUUCUAGAUUUUAUGCCAAGGUUGUCCACUAUCUCAAUUAACAACUAGUCGUCAUGCUACAUUCUAUGGGUUUUCCGAAAGAAAUGAGUCUAACGUCUUUUAGGAUGAUAUAAAGUCUAAAGUUUCAUGCAAAUCGAAUCGAAUUGAAGCCAUCAUGAGAUGAACUUAGAACAAGGCUCUAAGCAAAGCCUUGAAUCGACAUCAUAAUAGAGUGUAAACACCACAACUUGAGAAUUUCCAAAGAUCAGGAUAACACUAAUUCAUCUUAAGUUUAGCACAACCCAUCCAACCCAAAAAUGACACAAACACGACAACAUAUAACACGAAAUAAGCCAACUUUUCAAUCCUUUAAGAUCAUAGGUAAAAAUGUAUAAAACUUAGCUGAACUAUAGACCAUUUUGAUCCGAUUACCCAACCUUUCAAAAUUUUGACUUUAGUACCUAACCUUUCAAUUUAUUUGAUUUAAGUGAUUUGAUCGCGCUCUUCAGAUACAAAAUUUAAGCUAAUUGCUUACUUUAAUGAAUUUAUAGUUACGUAAAUUAUAUAAAAUGUAUUAACUAAAUCUGUAAAGAUGAAUGACGCAUUUAAAUUUUGAAAUUAAAGAGUCAUUAAUUAGCUCAAAUCAAAUAAAUUAAAAUGUCAUGUAGUAAAAUCAAAACUUUUAAAGGUUAGUCAAAUCCAAAUGAGUGACAGUUAAGGUAAGUUUUAUACAUGUUUACCAAGAUCAUAUUAUGGACUUCCACCGCGCGAUAGGGCCGCAAGGCCAGAUAGAAGCAGUUGACUGCAUAAUCUUCAGGAAUCAGACUUACCAACUUCCAAUUUUGCAUACGAAAGCAAUAUACUUCAAAAGAAACAGGAAAAAAAAAACCAAAAGAGAAAGAAGAAACUCACUGAAUCAUCAUCUUUCCUGCUGCGCUUGCUCUUAUCCUUCGAUUUCUUCUCUGACAGAAGAAAAAUGAAAGCACAGAGAAUCAUAAAACAAUAUUUUCAAAAUGCGUAUACAGCAUAAUCAGAAACACUGUGAGCAUAUCGCAAUCCUUGUUAAACAGUAGAAACAUUUCAAACUGUGAUACAUCAAACAAGGAUCAUACACAUCUAUACAAUAACAUCGCAUCUUUCGGGCUCUGUUUGGACGUCAGAAUAAGUUAUCCGACGAUCACUAAUUCGGUACGAGGAUGUUCUUGUUAGAUAAAAUGAUAGAUAGCAUAUAAGAAGACGAAUUUUGAUCUUCUGGCAGAAAAAGCCCAUGGUCCUGUUUGUUUGUUCGUCCGUAAUUGAUUUUCAGGUUGAAAAUGACAUUCAGUUUAACUGAAGUUCAGGUGAAAGUGAGUUUUUCUCGUCUGUUUGGUUGAUAGGAAGUCCGCGGCUUUGUGAUUGUGACUGUAGUUAUGCUAUUAUUUUUUGUUUAUUUUGCCGCAAAUUUUCACAUUAGCAUAUAAGAAGGUGAAAAAAAGUUAUAGCAAAUGGCUUUUUAUCAUUUUUUCCUAUCUCUUUUUUCUCUCUCGCAAUUGACUCCGCCACCACCCGGGGAAGUCAAUUACGGCGUUUUGAAAAAGUUGAGUUCCGGGCGAAUUUAAUUUACGAUGAACUAGAAUCGUAAAUUAAAUUCAGUAUUUUAUCACCAUUUUAUGCUCAAAGAACAAAUUUUUUAAUUUUUUAAUUUUUUUAGUUUGGAACAAAUAAGGCAAACCAAAAGCCCAUCUUUCCCUGUCGAUUUUUUUAAAAAAAUUCAUCUAAAAAUUACAAUGAAUUCGACGAAAAUCGGAGAUAAUUUCUUAUUUCGCAUUAAAAAAAAAAAGAAAUCUCCCAAAAGAAUUUGAUGAUUUGUAACCUAAAAGAACAAAUUUUUACUAAUUUUCACCACCGAUUAAUCCAAACCAAGCAAGAACCCUACCUUUCCCAUCCCGAUUCCUCGAGCUCCCGUGCGAUUUCUCGCUCUUACUCUUCUUCUUCUCCUUCCUCUCUCUCUCGUCCCUCCUCUUCCGGUGCUUUGCGCUCCGCUCUUCGUCGUCUAAAUUGGCGCAAAUUUGUUCGAAAUUAGGGUUUAGGGAGUGCGGAAAAGAGGGGGGAAAGGGGAAACUUCGCACCUUGAGAGGGAUUCGGAGAUGGAGACGAUCGCCUCUUCCGAGAUCUCCCUUCGCCACCCAUUUUUGCCCCCGCCCCUUCUUCUCCUUCGCCCUAAUCGAUCGUUUAGAGAAAGAGAGAGACGAUACAUAUUUGGGUAAAAUUGCACAACUAGUCCCUCAACUUUAACUUAAUUAUAUUCUGGUCCUCAAUAGCAGAUACACAUUAUUUUCACUUUAAAUCCAUGAUAGAGAAUUAAUAAAAGUAAUAAUAAAUGUAUGGAGAGUGGAGACCCCCUCAACUAUAGGCUAUUUUGAAAUAGCCCCCUUUACAUUAGCUUUUUCAGUUGAGAUCUUUAUAACUUUUAAAUUUUUUUGAAAAUUAAAAAAUUAUCAAACUCAUUAAUAAUUUUACCAAAUUUUAUAAUUUUAGCUUUAUAUUAACUACUAGUAGCUACUAUUUAACAAAAAAUUUUAAUAAAAAUGACCAGAAUAACCUAAUAAAGAUAAAAGAGUCAGAAUAAAAAAAUUUAAAGUUGAGGGGGUCAUUCCAAAUUAGCAAAGGGUCUUCAUAUAUUUUUACCGAUAAUAAAUUUACACAAAAACUAAAGUGAAAUGUUUUUGGGAAGUUCACUUUGUAAAAGUUUGAGAACCCAAAAAAGUAAUUUCUAACGAUUUGGGGGCUAGUACCGAAAUUUACUCUAGAGACUGAUAUUAAAUUUUGAGAUAGUACAGGGACUAUCCCGUAAAUUUAUUCUCUUCGUCUUCUACAAAACCCCUCGCAAAACCCCUUUCCCCUCUCUCACACCUCCCUCUCUUCAAAAAUGGCGCUCUCUCUCUCCUCCUCCCUCGCCCUCUCUCUCUCCUCCCCCUCCUCCUCUCCUCAGACCCUCUCUUUCACGGUGGUAUAGGCUUCUCUCUCUCUCUCUCCUUAGCCAUUUCCUCAUCUCCUAUUUCACCAAACUAACCCAUCAAGUGUUUGUGUUUUUGCCUCAGAGAAGCGGGAUGCCGAAUUGGGUUCGCGUAGCAUCAAAAUCUCGAUCUUUGGGUACUAAUUUUACUGUAAGAGCUAAUCCAAAGAGGUUUAUCUUUUCUGUGAUGUGUGUAAUCGUGCUUACGCAUAAGGUGUUUGUGUUUUUGCCUCAGAGAAGCGAGGAUACGAAUUGGGUUCUUGUGUAGCAUCGAAACGGAGAUUUUUGGGUAGUAAAUUUACUGUAAGAGCUGGGCCUAAGAGGAUAUCUUUUGGGGAUGAGUGUAGAAGGGGGUUGUUGGCGGGGAUCGAUAAGCUCGCCGAUACGGUUUCUGUUACCUUGGGGCCGAAAGGUAGCGGCUUUUUGGCUUGUUCAUUUUCUUAGAAAGGUUUAUUAUGUUUCCUAUGUUGGAUUUUGUGAUUUGGUGUUUGAUCAUGCUGUUAUUGCCUUAAAACUUAUAUUUGUAGGUUGGUUUAUCUGGUUUUAGCUGCUUAGCCAUUUAAGUUACUCUCUUUCUUUGGGGUUAAUCUAAAGACGUUAUUUACAAAAUCUGUUGAGUAAAAAAUAUUAGUUGUUGUUAAAUUUUAGAGCUAGAGCUGUGUAGAAAUGCUCACCCUAUAAACUUCAUUACUGUUAUUAGGGUAAAAUGUUAUUAGUUUGUUGCGUAAAUUGCCGUGUAUCACGCAUCCUAGUUAGCUUUUGAAGACCCAUCCUAAUCGAGUUAUAUAUAUUAUAUACAUUAUUUUCUUUCAGAGCAGAGAAUCUCUCUUUAAAGGCAUGUUACUUAAAAGUGAUAUUUGAUUCUUCAAAACUGAGUAGCUCAUGGCAGGGCGUAAUGUUGUUAUCGAUGAACCGGGAGUACCUAAAGUAAUAAAUGAUGGGGUUACGAUUGCUCGGGCUAUUGAACUCUCAGAUGCAGUUGAAAAUGCCGGUGCCAUGUUGCUUCAAGAGGUCAUUGCUACGACUUUACCAUUCUUAGCGAAGUUUCCAAUUUGCUGCAAAAUAGGUUCUACUUCCUGUUUCACAUGGUUUAUGAAACAAUUUCUCUACUUUGAAAGCCUAACUAAUAGCAAAAUUGGAAGCUCCAAAUUGGAGCUUCUGCAUUUGGGCCAUAAAAUCUUACUUUAGCUUUUCACCAUAACAGAAGCUUCAAACUUUUGUGUUUGCCAGACUCUGUGCCUAAGUUGAAAGCAGAAGUAAAACUAGGCCAAAUAGGCAAAAUUGUGCUCUUUGAACAGCUUACCUAAAAGCACUUAUGCAGAAGUUGCAACCGAGCGAAACGAUCGCUAAGAGUAUUGCUUUUAUUAUUGUCUAAACUAUCUUAAGCAGGUAGCAAGCAAGACAAAUGACUCAGCGGGGGAUGGGACCACCACUGCAAUUAUUUUGGCUCGGGAAAUGAUCAAAUUAGGGUUGUUGGCAGUUGCCACCGGGGCUAACCCUGUGUCUUUGAAAAAGGGCAUCGAUAAAGCUGUUAAUGAACUUAUCAAGAUCUUGAGGAGUAAAUCUGUUCCCGUGAGUGGAAAGGAAGACAUAAAAGGUAAUCAUGCUCUUAAACAUGGAUUAAUGAAAGGAAAACACGUGUAAAUAUCAUAUCAUGGAAUUGCUAAAAUCUACAAUCUACCCGUUUCAGCUGUAGCUGCAAUAUCUGCGGGAAAUGACCAGUUUAUUGGAGAUCUUAUUGCUGAAGCCGUUGAAAAGAUUGGUCGUGAUGGAGUAAUCUCAAUUGAAUCAUCUUCCUCUUUUGAUACCCUAAUAGAAGUCCAAGAAGGAAUGAAGGUAUCGUCAUUUGAUACCGUAAAUGGUGCUGAUACAUCCUUUCAGAAAUCUCUAUUUACGCAUGUAAACCUGCAAGAUCUUAUUUUUCAUAUAUACCCCUUAAAAGCUUAAUUUGUUGUAAGAAAUAUCAUUUUCAAGGGGUAUGUAUGAAAAUUUAAAUUUUAAUGAAAUAGAAAUACAAAUUGAUGAUUUUGCAGGAAUGCAUACAUGCACACAUACAUAUAUUUGUAUGUAUUUGUGUAUAUAUGUAGGAGCUGCUAAAGUUUUUUAUUUGCUUCUCUUUUACUUCCUAUGCAGAUAGACAAGGGGUAUAUAUCUCCACACUUCAUCACAAACCAGGACAAAUCGAUCGUGGAGUUUCAGAAUGCUAAAGUUCUUGUAACCGAUCAAAAGAUCACAAAUAUUAAAUCCCUAGUUCCUUUAUUGGAAAAGACCACUCAGCUAAGCGUGCCAUUAUUAAUCAUCUCUGAGGAUAUCUCAAGCGAAGUGCUUGCAACUCUCGUCCUAAACAAACUGCGAGGAGUGUUGAAUGUUGCGGCGAUUAAGUGCCCUGGUUUCGGAGAAGGAAAGAAGGCUCUUCUCCAAGAUAUUGCUCUCAUGACAGGUAAACUUAAAUAUCCUUUGCUUCAUCACUUAUUUAGAUAAUACAAUUUGGUUAAAAUGUGUAGUGACACCCCCAACCAUAUUUCUUUUUAUAGACAUUUGGCUAAAUUGAAUUGAGAAUUCGUAAAAUUUUACGGCUUUGUUAGCCAUAAAAUUUGCAGUCCCAUCAGCUGAAAAAACAUUCAGAAAUUCUACCGAAUCUGUUUCCUAUGUAAACCUUAUUUUGGCAACAGGUGCACUUCCUGGUGCUAGUUAAUUUCUUUAUUCUGCAAUUAAACAGGUGCAGAUUUUCUCGCUAGCGACUUGGGCUUGACGCUUGAAAGCGUGACUUCGGACCAGCUAGGUAUUGCUCAGAAGAUUACUAUAACAAGUAAUUCGACGACCAUCGUCGCAGACCCAAUAAUGAAAGAGGAGAUUAAGGCGAGAAUUUCCCAAAUAAAGAAAGAUAUAAGUGACACAGACAGUGCUUAUUUAUCAAGGAAGCUGUCUGAAAGAGUUGCAAAGCUUUCAAGUGGUGUAGCCGUGAUCAAGGUUUUUUUCCUAAUUUCUUCUCUUUUCUUUUUUUCUUGGGGGUGGAUUCUGAGUACAUACAAAUGAUAUUUAGGUAGGAGCACCCACUGAAGCUGAACUUGAGGACAGGAAACUUAGAAUUGAAGAUGCAAAGAACGCAACUUUUGCUGCCAUAGAUGAAGGUAUAGCACCUGGUGGUGGGGCCACUUUUGUACAGUUAUCAAAGCAAAUUCCCCAGAUUAAGGAUCUUAUUGAUGACCCAGACGAGAAGAUUGGAGUUGACAUAGUUGGAAAGGUUUGAUUUCUUUUAAUCUUUUAACGACAAAUUACUUUAUUCACCUCACCUGACAAUUUUUGAAAUAUCCUUGAAAUGGAACAGUUUUAGAUUUACGGGUUAAUCCCGAAGUAAUAAUUUACCAUCCUAACUUCUAUUCUUUUGAAGUCAACAUGACAACAUGGCAACUUAACUUUGAACAUUUUCGUUUGUGAUACCAUAUAAUUGCCAUCUAUCCACAAGAAAGCAAAGCUCAAAGAUACAGGCCUUACUCUCUGUUUAGGACAAUUGCCUUUUGUCGUAGUUUUAUUUGUCAAAAUUUUCCUUGUGAUUGCCAUUUUUAUACCAUGUUAGCAACUUUUGGACUUACAUGUUGAUUAGAUGGGAAUUGCCUUCCGAUUCAACCAAGAAAUCUAAAGGAAGGGUAAUAUUGUAACAAAGUUCAAAGUUAGGGAUCCAAUUGUAUCAAUUGAAAGUUGAGGACCCUGGUGUAAUUUAUACAAUAAGAUCAAAUCAAAUUGCUGAUAACCCACCUUGGUACGUUGCAACCCUUUUAUUUUCUCUCCCGUAAAAUUAGCUUUCUUUAAAAAAAAAACAAUUAGCGAAGAAUGAAAUGCUAAUUUGAGUGAUUUCAUGUUUGCCAAUUUUAAAAUUUUUUUUUUCCUUUUUAAAUAAUUCCAGGCACUUCUUACACCCGCUAUGACAAUAGCUCACAAUGCGGGGCUCGAUGGUUCGGCUGUCGUUGAGAAGCUCCUUUCUAGUGAAUGGCUUAUCGGGUAUAAUGCAAUGACUAACAUGUACGAAAACCUCCUUCAAUCUGGUAUUAUCGACCCAGCUAGGGUUUCAAGGUGCGCACUUCAAAAUGCAGCUUCUAUAACUGGAAUGAUUCUAAUGACGCAAGCUAUUAUGGUCGAUAAAGUAAAGAAGCCUGCACCUCCUUUUCCUUUAGUUCCUGGUAUUACCCCAUAGAUGUAGAAUAUACAAAAAGGGCUUUUAAUAGAAAAGCCAGGGAAGAGAAGUUAUUUUCAUCGCAUAGGCUUUCUCGACUUUGCAAAUCGGCUUUUCGAGAACAAAAAGGGGAAGGUUGAACCAGUAGCGUGAACAGAUAGGGCUACGCGAGAAUUGCUGGAUUCACGAGCUGUUUAAUCGCGAGUUUAUUUUCAAAGCAGAAGAGCGUCUACUGAGGAGCACUUUUGUUGUAAGUGAAGUUAUCCUCUGCUUUUUGCAUGCUAUUGUGCUUGUAUUGUUUUUCUUGCUAAUUACUUAGGAAUGAGUUGUGAUUUUUGGUUUUUUUUUUUACAUGCUUCAAUAGGUCCGCUCGCAUUUUUAUUUCUCAAUAUAUCUCAUGAAUGGCGUGCUUAUAACUUUGCACAUAACCGCUUUUUCACAUUUCAUAUUGUUUGCACAUUCCCUUCAAUUCUCUUUUAUUUCAAUACGUCGGAGCUUUUUGAUUAUUUACAAAAUUGCUCAUGAUUGGACCCUCUAUUUGAAUUUCGCAAUUUUAGGGCAUCAUUUGCCUAACAUUCAGUGGUCUCAAAGUUGACUCUCUUUAAUGGCUAAUAUAAGGUCAAUUUGAGACCACUUGAUCACUAAAGAUCAUGUUUGACAAUGCAGAUUGUCGAUUUUGAUACGUUGCAGCCAAAAGCGGCGUCUACUUUUAAACGUAUUCUAGUUUUAUUAUAAUUGGACUCAAAUUAGUUUACUCCCAUAGAAAAGAAAUUAGAUUUUACUCUAGUGCUUGCUCUAAAAGCACUAUUCCAUAGCAAUUCAUCCAACAGCAUUAUAUUUUCUGGUUGAGAAUGAUGAUCCCUGUCUCACCAUUGGCUACCUCCCUAUGAAAUUUUUGAUUCUUUAAUGCUUAUUAAGUCUAGAAGCUUCUAGAAUCUAGGGAAUCUUCUAUUUGCUCAUCUAUACCUCUGUAUACCUAUACAUUGUUCUCCCUAAAUUUGCCACAUGCCGAUGUUUCCUUCAUUGUUGGGUGUCGGCUCUAUCCCGAACCGAUUCAAGUCUUUCACUUUUUUUUUUUUUUUUUGCUUAAAUAAAAUCGAUUUUUUUUUUUUUAUUUGUUUGAACCGAAUCAAUCAUUUGUUUAGUGUGGAUUUUUCCAAACCAGCUUAAGCCCUCAACAUGUUUUUUUCUUUCUUUGUUCGAACCAAAUCGGAUUUUUUUUCUGCAUUGAGCCGAGCUAUUUCUCUAACACUUCCUUCGGUUGCUACCUUCUUUCAUCGGUAAGAUUAAUUUCAUCCUUUAUCGUCGCUACUUUCAUCGCUAUUUCCUCUUCUUUUGUAACCAUUUUUUAUUUUUUCUCUAAUUAUCUACUCGUCACAUCACAUAAAUUACUGUACUAGUGUUUCACUAAUUGUCAUGUAUGUAGUGUACGCUUAUUUCUAAAACCAUUUUAUUUUGGUCAUAAGUGGACUUCUAUGCCGACAAAGUAGAACCUUCUAUUCUGGUUUGACUUUAUUAGGGAUGCAAACGGGACGGAUCUGCGAGCGAAAAGGGUUUCCAACCUACUGCUUCAUUUUCUUAACAAGUCGGGAUGAAUUACCGACCGUCCCUAGAGCAAGUGGCAAAGGGCUCAGUGGCUGGUACCCGAGACCCAAGUUCGAAUCCCAGUUGAUUCACAUUUCUUGCUAAGUUUAUUUCUAAAUGAAAUAAAUGAAGUAGGUAGCGUACUACCUAUUUCUCAAAGUCGGGACGAAUUUGGGAUGAAUUACUAUUUUAUUCGGGACGGAUCGAAAGAAGAAGCUGUACUCCAUUUUGCUCUGGACGGUUUUCUUUCCAUCACUGAUGUUUAGUUUUGAUAAUGUGUUAUCAACCGCAUCCAAUUUUAUAUUUUUUAAAAGGUCAAAAAAAAAAUUCAUAAAUUUUGAAUAUUGCUUUUUUAUAAAUCGAGCAUCGGUCAUUUCUCGACCGUUGAUUAUUGAGAUUAUUUUGUAUUGUUUUAUGCAUCAGAGUCCUUUUGGACGGUGUAGAUCGCAUGCAUCCGAUGGAUUUUGAUUCUGAGACGUUGAUCAUUCGGAGCCGUGAGUGGUGGUGCAUGAGAUGUACGGAUGCACCUGGUGCAGGCAAUAAUUUGUUGUCCAACUUCCAACGGGUUUAGACCGAUCGCUCAGCCGUUGAUCUGCGGCAGGAUGUAUAUCUGAGCCGUCCAUUUCUCGGCCCACAGUUAACGUUCGCUCAAAUUUUCAAACCCGCUGCGGCUCACGGUUUUUUUUUUACUUCCUGCACGCACAUCGAGGCGAGAAUAUCCAAUGGGAUAAGCUCCCUCUCCCCUCCUCAGAAGUUAUCGCCGUGAACUGCGUACACCACGUCAGCCGAAAGACCGGGACCACAAUUUUUUUUUUGUAAGCGUGGGUUUGUGUUGCGUGACACAAAAAUGAACUAACAGUAUGAUAUGUUCGUUUUUUUUAAAAAUGAAUAAUAAAAUUGAGGGCUAAUUUGGAAUUGCGUAGCUAAACUCACUUUUAAAGGUUUUUCAAAAGUGGUUUCAAAUAUAAAAAUAGUUUCAUAUAAUCACUUUGCUUCUUCGUUGAUGGAUAAUAUUACAAAAAUAUUUAAUCUUAUUUUUUUUUAAUUAUAAUUUUUUUUUUCAUAUGAUAAUAUUAAAAAUGUGUACUUGUAUUUUUAUAAGAGACCGGCCCACGGUGGGCCAGGUCUACGGAAAACUUCUUUUUCUCGGCGCAAUGUAGCAACACCAGCCCUUAACGUACGCCCCCCUCCUCCCUAUAUAAACCAAAGCCCCUCCCCUUUUCCCUCUUCCUCCGAGUCUCUCCACCAUUCUCCUCCUCCUCCUCCUCCUCCUCCUCCACCUGAAACCCUAACCCUAACCCCAUCGAUCUCAUUGCUCUCGCUCUCUCUCUCUCUCUCGAUAGAGGACCCAUCAAUGGCGGCGAAGAAGAGCGUGGGGGAUCUGAAGGAGGCGGAUCUGAGGGGGAAGAAGGUGUUCGUGAGGGUCGAUCUCAACGUGCCCUUGGACGACGCCCUGAACAUCACCGACGACACCCGGAUCGGCGCCGCGGUGCCCACGAUCAAAUACUUGGUCGGGAACGGCGCCAGGGUCAUCCUCUGCACCCACCUGGUGAGCGUGAUCUCUCUCUCUCUCUCUCUCUCUCUCUCUAGAUCCUCCCUUUCGCGCCCUUUUGAUUUGAUCCCUUCUGCUUGUUCUUCUGAUCCUUGUGUUAUUUGUUAAUUUUUUGGUGAAAUGUACGUAUAGUCCCUGUGUUAUCUUGAUACUGCAACUAAGUAAAGAAUCAUUUUUGACCUUUUAGGUGUAUACAAACACUUGGUGAGCGAGAUCUCUCUCUCUCUCUCUCUCUCUCUCUCUCUCUCCAUUCGAUUUGACCUCUUCUUCUUUUUCUUCUGAUCCUUGUUUGUUUGGGUAAAAUGUGUGGAUAAUCCCUGCAUUAUCUUGAUAUUGCAACUUAGUGGCUAAAAUUUUCAAUAUGUCACACUUUAAUCCCCAAUCAUUAAGAAAAAUCUAGUUUUUCUUAUAGAAGAAUCAUUUUUAGCCCUUUAAUCCCUGAUCAUUCAUCAUUAGAUGUCUCUGUCAAGGUUGAUUUACUAUCAGAGUACUUCUAAUGGUUAUAUCAUACUUAUUUGCAACUUGAUCUAAAUUUUAGUCGGAUGUAGAGAAUAUACUAUAAUCAUUGAUGCAUAUUAUAUUGUAUCUACAUGCAAUUUGACCAAAUUGUAUGCGUGUCAAUACGUCAUCCUAACCAUUGGAACACCAUUUUGCUUUGUUAUUAUAUAAAAAUUCUGAUAUAACUUAUCACAAUAUAUUUAAUUAUAUAUAUCGACCACAAACUGCAAAUUUGCUAGAGCUUCCUUCUUUUACUUUUAUUUUUUGUUGUCUUAGUAAUGUUUUCAUUUUGCUUUUUAAGCCAUCUCUAAUGUAGUGACUAAUUUGAUGAAACUCCAUGAAAUUCUUGUGCCUAGAUUCUUCUUAAUUUGAUGCCUAUUCGAUGGUAACUUGCAAUACUAGUCCCUGUAUAUAUAUUCAGAUUUCACUUUGGUCCAUAACUUUUAAAGUUGUGGAUUUGAUACCCCAAGCUUUUGAAAAUGUUCCACUUUGGACCUUAUUCCCAUCUCUAUUAGAAGAGGAAAAAAAAAAAAAACAAAAAAAAAAACAUUGCCUGUGCCCAUCCCUAUAGUCAUGCAGUACCAUUCAUCCAUCGGCCCAUGAUCUCAUCUCAUUUUCCAUUAGCUACCUCCUCUUUCUAAUGGAAAAUUGGACAUUUGUAUUGUAAGUACAAGAUUGAUGGGGGGCAAACGGAUUUGUGGUCCAAAGAUGUGCAGUUGUACCAGUUGUGGGCAAUAAUAUUUCCUCUAACAAUAGAUGGCUAGAAGGAUUAAGUGAAUCAUUUCAAAAAUUCGGAGUGUUACUGAAAUCUAACCUUAUCAACUUAAUUAUUGUUAAGAAAAAUAAAAAUUCUCGUCCUCACAUAAUAGGUAAUACCCAUAAAACAAAAGAUAUGUUCCUGCAUCAUUUGUUGCCCUUAAUCCUCCUUCCUCGCUAUUGUGGGGUCUCGAAUUUUUUUUGUAGGUUGAGUUUGUAUUUAGAUGCUUACUAGCUGAAUUUUCACAUGAUCCAUGCAAAAAUGAUAGACCUCACAUAUUUGAAUUGGAAUAGUUUGAAGUAAUUUAAGUCCCUUUUUAUUCAAAAGAAAGGGGAAAGCAAUUCUCUUGAAAGGUUGCAUUAUUUACAUUAGAGUUCGUUUUCUAAGGAAAUGGAAUUCCUAAGAAAAGUUUUCAGAUCUUAAUCUCAUUAUUGGAUGUGAUCAGAAGUAUUUAACAUUUUCAACGUCGUUAACAUUUCAAUUUUUUUUUUUUUUUUUCUGAAGACCAAGUGGCUUGACAGUUAUAAUUGGAAUCUCAUAGCUGUAUAUUAUUAGUUUUUAAUUCAUGCUGGCCUGUAUAGCUUGCUUCUUAUUUCUAUAUGCUUUUCUUACGUUGGGUACUGUAGAUGCUAAUACAUUUCGAUUACUUUGACGGAAUACAUUUAUGAACUUCAGUAGUAAGACUGGCUAUCACAUGCCAUCAACACUAGGUAAUGUAAUAUUCUCGUCCAAGGUAGAAAAAUGUUGCUUUGAUAGUAAGUUAAUUAUUGUUCUAAAAUUACUCUUCAGUCUUUCUGUUAUUUAUCCAUCAGUUAUCUCAUGAAAAAAAUGCUUUCCUUAAAUAUUUUCAUUUCCAGUCUCAUACUUCAAUUUUUCUUUUCUUUUUUUAAAUUUACAGAAUUAAUGGAUGUGAUUUUGACUUUCUAGGGCCGCCCUAAAGGUGUCACUCCAAAGUACAGCUUGAAGCCUCUCGUGCCGAGGCUAUCAGAACUUCUUGGAGUCAAUGUAUGUGGAAUCUGCUCUCUAAAUAGUUGUUUUUCUUAAAUAUGAUAAUCAAAGCGCAGUAUGGUUGUUUGUAUAUGUACCUACCUCUGCAGAUAUGUGAAAUUGCAAAACAAUCCUUGCGAAGUUAGUAUUUAUGCCUGUGAAAAUCAUACUUAAUCGCAUUCAUUCCGUUGCCGGGCAAAUAAAUAAGGUUUUCAAGGGCACAUGUGAAAAUACUAACUUCGUGGGGAUUUUUGUGUAAUUUUACAUAUUUGCACGGGUAUGUACACGAAAAACCCCUAUAAUUUCUUUCUUCUGAUCCCGCGCAACAACAAUAGCAGCUAAGCCUUUAGUCCUCAACUAUUCUAUUCCAAGUUGGAUAACUUACUGUUCAACAUAAUACAUGUUAAACAGGUCGUGAUCACGAAUGACUGCAUUGGUGAAGAAGUUGAAAAAACGGUGGACACAUUGCCAGAUGGUGGCGUUGUACUUCUUGAGAAUGUCCGAUUUCAUAAGGAAGAAGAGAAGAAUGAUCCCGAGUUCGCUAAGAAGCUAGCAUCGCUCGCGGACCUCUAUGUGAACGAUGCCUUUGGCACCGCCCACAGAGCUCACGCCUCGACCGAGGGAGUCACCAAGUUCUUGAAGCCGGCGGUCGCUGGCUUCCUUAUGCAGAAGGUAUAUUUUUCAGUUUGGUCCUUUAAAAGCAAUUCUUUAUUAUAUUCCAAUUCAUUUAAGUAAAUUAUAACACAUGUCGCUAAUUUAAUUCAUGUAGCAGUAGUAUAAUCUAUGUGAAACAAAGCUUGCACUGAAAUUGCUUCUUCUUCUUUUUUUUUUUGAAGGAACUUGAUUACCUUGUUGGGGCCGUGGCGAACCCUAAGAAGCCAUUUGCGGCCAUCGUGGGUGGAUCUAAAGUAUCAACGAAGAUCGGAGUGAUCGAAUCAUUGUUAGGAAAGGUCGAUAUCCUUCUUCUCGGCGGUGGGAUGAUCUACACGUUUUACAAGGCGCAAGGGUACUCUGUCGGGUCGUCACUGGUUGAAGAAGACAAGCUCGACCUAGCGACUUCUCUUCUAGAGAAAGCGCGCUCCAAAGGUGUUUCUCUCUUGCUGCCCACCGACAUUGUGGUAGCCGAUAAGUUUGCUGCGGACGCAGCCAGCAAGGUUUGUUCCUCCACUGAAGUCGUCUUUUCUCUUUUCCUUCUGAUAUUCUAGGGCUUCUUUGACCCGGGUUUCGAAACCUGUAGUGAUAUUGACUGCACUAAAAUUGUUAAUGACGGAGCAAGUUUUUCGCAGCUGGUCACGUCUGUCGCGUUGUGAACACUCACCAGCUUCAGUGAACUUGCUUUGUCGCUAUUAUCCUCAGCUGCAUCAAUUUCACUGCACUUUUGAAACUUCUCUACUUGAGAAGCAAAAGCCCGAAAUGCUCCAGGAGCGGCUGGCUUUGAUUGUGAGUAGAAAUGAGUUUCUUAGCGCCCUACAAAUCGAAGCAUUAAUUUUAAGCGCAACUUGUAUUUACUGAUGGCUGUCAAUUUGGAUUCGAUAUCUUUAUUUAUUUACUUUUAUCUAUACAUUUAUUUGGACCUUUUGUUUUGUAGGUCGUACAAGCGUCGGAAAUUCCAGAUGGCUGGAUGGGUCUCGACAUCGGACCCGACGCGAGCAAGACAUUUAAUGAAGCCCUGGAUACCACCAACACCAUCAUUUGGAACGGACCCAUGGGCGUGUUCGAGUUCGAGAAGUUUGCUGCGGGAACCGAUGUAAGCGAAUAUAGCAGCUUAUAUAUAACACAAAGAUUGGAAGAAUAAAAAAAACCUAUUAAUAUUGUUAAUUUCACAUUGCCCCUCUGAUAUUCCAAAACCGACAUUUUACCCCCCGAUGGAGCACCGACGAAAGAGGCAAAGUGGUGAAAUCUUGUAGUCUCAGGGGAUGCUGUAUAGAUUCGAUUAUUUCGAGGAAAGUGAAUAUAUCGAUACUUAAAGAAAUGCGCUAAAAUUGUGAAUUCAGAAAAAAAAAGAAAAGAAGAGAAAGUACACUAUUUUUCUGAAUUCAAAUAAUUGGAUCCUUUUUUUUUUUUUCUUCUUUUAGGAAGGCUCAGUCUAUUAUGUUGAUAUUAGAUUUAAACGAUCUAUAAUUUCCACAGGCGAUUGCGAAGAAGCUGGCCCAGCUCAGCGCGAAGGGCGUCACCACGAUCAUCGGGGGCGGUGACUCCGUCGCCGCAGUGGAGAAGGCGGGCCUGGCAGACAAGAUGAGCCACAUCUCAACGGGAGGCGGCGCGAGCCUGGAGUUGCUGGAAGGCAAGUCGCUCCCGGGAGUCCUCGCUCUCGACGAUGCUUGAGCACAUGGCGAAAACAUAUUCGUCUUCGAGAUUAAGAUAGCUUGUGUCGCAGUUUUUGUAUAUGGGUUUCGAAAUAAAGUUAAGCCUAUAACCGAGGCGAGCGAGAUGAAGCAAGCGCUUGAGACAAGUAGUUCUCAUUUUGAUCACAAUGGCUCUUGGCUCAAGCUUUAUGAUCAAGAAGUUCAUUGUGGUGUUUUGCAUUUUGUAAUGUUGAUGUGAAUCUUUAACUGGUGGAUGAAACCAAGAAGAAUUCACCUUUUUUGUAACUUUGGAUGUUUAAGUUUAUGAAUCCAUCUGUAAUUUCAUAAAAUCCGCGAAACGAAUUAUGCUGUGGAUUGAUUGGUUUGCAAACUUGCAAUUCAUUUCGAUGUACCGCCGAUUGACGGCUUUAUUCGCUAUUUGAAGUUUGAACUUCUGCAAAAAUGUUGUUUGAGGUUUAGAACUACUCAACCGCAGCAGAAAAAAAAAAAAAAAAGGUGAGUUUUUUGAAAAGGGAGAAAUGUAUGCUAAAACUUUCAAUUUUGAUAAUUAAAUUUUCUGAAACUUAUCAAAUAAUUUAAUAGGCUCAUCUUUUUAAUUAAAGGUUAUUAAUAAUACAACCAUUUUUGCGGUGCGACUGUAUAUAAUUUUAUAAAGCUUUAAGACAAAAAAAAAUUAUUUCUUGUAAUCUAACAAAUAAAAUAAGAACAAAAUUUUAAGGUAGAUUCGUCCUAUUCUAUAAUUCUCACGCGUAAUUAUUUAAAAUUAAAAAUAAGAAAGAAUAGGUUCUUUUUAUAUUUUGAAUUCUUAUAAGAUUAUGUGCACGACAUGUGUCAAAAUCAACUGUGUAUAAUUAGUGAUUUCGAUUGAGACGCAGAGCCUAUCAAUCUAUUCGAUAAGAGGGUCUAAUUACUAAAAUUGAAAGUUCAAUUGUCUGUUUAUAAAAGAGCUAAAUGUUUGAUAUAUUUCUUCAUUUUGAAAUGUUGUAGCAUGUAAAAAGUGAAGUUCCAAGUAGGUUUCCGAAUGGUCUUCAACAUAUAGGCUUUAAUGCCUAUUUAGCUGAUCUUUUCAAACAGCUUCUCUUCUCAUGAUUCAGGAGUCAAACGCUUGUUAGACAAAAAGCACAAAACUUUGCGACCAAGACCAGAAGCCUCCACUCAAGCUUUUGCUUUUACAAAACCAGUAAAGCAGGAAAAGUUUUAGUGUUUGUUCAAACUCAAACAAGACAUGAAUACAAAUUUCAACAUUCAACCAUAGACUUUAUCUAGAAAAAAAAAGCUCUUUUCUCUUCUCAAUCAUUUUCACUGGGCUCAAUUUCCAAAGUGCUCUUUGAAAGAGAUUAGCUUUUACUACAAAUGGUGGAAAGAGAAGUAAUCCUUGAACAUCAAUUCUAGGGUUUUCUUUCUAGCUAGCUUACUUUAUCCCAUCCAUUUCAAGGUAAUGGUUGGUUCCUUGAACAAGGAUUUAAUUAGUGGAUUUAAUGAUUGGUUAGCAAAAGAGAGAGAUAUGAAAAUACAAAAAAAAAAAAAAGAAAAAGAAAGAAAGGGUGGGGGGUGGUGGAUAAGUUGGGUAUGUCCACACAAAGCCAAAGAAUAAGGCAUUUAAGUAGUUUUACAAAAUUGGGGAAUUGCUAACAACCACAAGUUUCAUCAAAUAAUACAAUUAUUAAUAUAAUAUAAGGAGAAAGUUAAUCGAUUAAAAAGUUCUCCUAACUCUUCAAUGCUUGAUUGACCCACUCCUUUAUAUCUAAUAAAUUAAAAUUUUAUAUCAUGUUUUUUCACUAAAGUGUCGAUAACUUUCGAGAAUAUAUUAGCUAGAUAGGGUGGUUUUCUGGAGAUUUUUAGUAUCGAAGAGGUAAAGUGCAGAUUCUGCUUAAGUCCAGUUAUUAUUACUAGCGUGUAUGCCUCGUAUAAACAAUAUCCCAUCUGAUGUAGGAUUAUCAAAUUACCAAGCGAUGUGAGAUUUUAGAAGUGGCUCCUACGACGCACUUAGCUCUCACACUUCCGGCUGAUAUUCGGCUGAUACCAAUUAUAACGACCCGACCCUCUAGCAAUAAUAACUCGUUAGGUCCAAACCACCGGCCCAAAAUAUUUAAGCCUGGUUAUUAUUACUAGCGUGUAGGCCUCAUAUAAACGGAUUGAAAUCAGUAUCCCAUCCGAUAUGGAAUUAUUGGGGCGUUGCAAUAUAUGGCUUUGUAAUUGUAUUAGAUGAGUGUUUGUUCAUGCACUUGUAUGGUAAGAAAUUCAUUACAUAAACAUUUCUUUUUAGAGAGAAAAAUAAAAAAUUUAAAAUCUUCAAAAUAAGACAGGAUGAAGCAACCAAACAUUGGAAAAAAAAAGGGUAAUGUUUGCAUCAUAAGUUUUGAAGAUUAUCUACCAACAUAUAUAUAUAUAACAUCGAUCUCACACUGAAAGGGAAAAUAAUUGUACAACAUCAUGACACUGAUAUUUAAUGUGAAAGCUUUCUUUUUCAAUUGUAUUGAUUUGUCGAUUAUUUGCAACCACAAAUAUAAUGCUACAACUUGUCACCAAAAUUCUAAGUUAAGUAUUUCUAAGGAGAUAUAAUACAAGAGAAUUUAUAGGUUAAUUAAUUGGCAUAAUAAUAUUAUUCUUAUGUAUGUAUGAACUUAGCGUGGUGUUAAUUAAUUGACAACAUUAAGAUUCAACUAAAUUUUGAAUUGUUGUUCUUCUUUUGGAUUUCAAUUAGUAGUAGCAAGCGGCGAACAUAAUAUGCGAUAUUUAAAUUCUAUUAAUCUUAUGUAUACGUGCAUUCGAGGAAGAGAGUAUAUGAACAUCUUAAAAUCUCAAUUUGCUCUUGACGAUUUCGAACCGAAAAUGAUGGAUUAAUUCGAUCAAGUUUGAUAUAUUGAGGUGGCUUGAUACAUAUAAUUAGACUCAUACAUACAUUGAGCUUCUUUUUAAUUAGUUUUUUUUUUCUUGGUUUUUUAUACAACUCACCAUAUAUAUAUAUAUAUAGAAGAAAAUCACAAACAAGAGGUCGAAGGUUAAAGAACAGAAGGGAGCUUAAUUAAAAAGGUCGGUGAAUGAAUUAAAUGAAGAAAUAUACAGUAGCAUAUAUAUAUAUAUAUAUAUAUAGAUAGAUAGAUAGUAGUAUAAAAGAAAGAAGAAGAAAUAAGAGUAGGUUGCAGUACACACACCUGUAAAUCUAUUUGGUGUAGGAUAUGCAUGCAGGUGAAUAAGCAGCAGCUCUAUGAUCUCCUCCAAAUCCUUUUGUUGGUUGUGAGUUGUUGAAGCUGCAAGAUGAUCUGAUGAGAGUUUACAACUCCCUUUUCCCUUGCCCUCUCUCUCUCCCUUUCUAAGACUCUCUCUCUCUCUCUCUAAGACUCUCUCUCUCUCUCUCUCUCUAAGACUCUCUCUCUCUCUCUCUCUCUAUAUAUAUAUAUAUAUUAUAUAUGUAAAUAUAUAGCUAUUGACAUGCUUUAUGCCUUUCUAUGUAGCAACCCUAGCUAACUUUGUUGGCCUCAAUAUGAUUUGAUGGUCAUGUAACCUCACAAUUUUGUCAUGCCAAAACAAGCUCAUCCAUCUCUCUCUCUCUCUCUCUCUCUCUCUCUCUCUCUCUCUCUCUCUCUCUCUCUCUCUCUCUAGUGUGGUUUUUUGCAUGAUAGCUACAGAGACUAAAACUUGCAGAGAUCAUUUUAAGUUCAUUCACCAAUAUUUCACAGCCCUGAAAACUCUCUCUCUCUCUCUCUCUCUCUCUAUAGAUCUUUCUCUAUAUAUAUAUAAAAGAAAAUAUGAAAUAUAUAUAAGAAUCAUUUUUUUUAAAGCAGUUUCUAGGAAACGGAGCUUCGACCGCGUUUCGAUGACCAGAUCAUGCUGGCAGCUUCAACGCCUCCAACCAACAAAGCUAAAUCAGCCAAAAGGCAAGAGAGUAGAGAGUGUAGGAUCGAUGAGAACGAACAUUCAGAAGAUUAAAAGUAACACAGAAAUUUGAGGAGUUGCAAUAGAAAUUGACUAAUACGCAGUGCACGAAGCCUUUUGUAUUCUCUCCUAUACUAUACUAUCAUGUGACUCCUUUUAAAGUCACUCCAUAGACCAUGUCUCUAUCUACCUCAACUCCUAUCUACUCGCACCAUAUCUCUUGGAGAAAAUUUUAAUGGUGGUUUUUGACACUUCAAUAUACAAAGCUUUUGAUAGUGACCUUUUUAUUGAUAAACUGGUAUUAGAUCAUAAACUUAUGAUUAGACUACAACCGCACUUAAUUUAAAUAAAAAUUAUAACGGAAACUAGUUAUUAUAUAAAUUAAGUUCAAUAUUAUUUUGUAAUAAUAGCAACAAUAGUAGUAUAUAAUAAAUCAAAUACGAACGAAAUGACCUAUAGGAAAAUUUAUAAAGAGUACUUUUUAAAGCAUGUAAUUUUUUUUAGGGGCAAUUGCCUAUAUACCCCUGAAAAGUUUCCGGUUUUCUUAUAUACCCCUCUUAGAAGGCUAAUAUUGAAAAUAUCCUUCUCAUGUUCCAAGUCUUUCUAAUAUGCCCCUGGAGUUAAGCUCCGUUAGUGAGCUGCCGUUAUCUCUGUAAAAUUACCAUUUUGCCCAUUCCAAUAUACCCUUCUACCGUAACUAACUUUUCUUAUAUACCCUUUAUAUAGCAAAUAUUUUUCUUAUUUGCCCUUCAAAUAUAAAUUAAUUAAUUAAGCACGUCGAGAUUGAUCGCAGUUAAACCAACUUUGGUAGCUGGAGGCAUAGUUAGUUAAUUCGGAUUCGGCAAAAAUUCAGUAGUGAUAUAAUUUGGAUAAAAUUCGUCUUUUAAUUUUUAAAUUCGUUAGUUAAUUCGGAUUCGGCAAAAAUUCGGUAGGGAUAUAAUUCGGAUAAAAUUCGUCUUUUAAUUUUUAAAUUCGUUGAAAAAUACGGCUAAAAAACGGAUUCGGCAGUUAUUCGGAUACGUGAUUUAUACAGGUAUUAUACGUUCACCAAUUAAAAAUUCGGGAUCAAAUAUCAAUUUUAUAUAUAAAUUUUAAAAAUUCGGUAUUAUACUAUAUAUAUUAUUUUUAUAAUAUUUAAUAAUAGAUUAAAUAUAUUUAAAAUUAUAAUAAACUUAUAUUAAUAAUAUAUAAGAGUUAUAUAUUUAAAAAUAUUAAUAAAUAAUUACAAAUUUAUAAAUAAAAUAUUAUAUAAUAAUAUUUCUAUAUAAAAAUAAAAUACUAUAUGAAUAAAUCUAUUAGUUAUUAUUAUUAUUAUUAUUAUCAGAAAACAUGACAGUUGAUUUACAGGAACAUAGUUAUUAAAUAAUUAAGCGCUAAUUACUUAAUAAUUGUCAUUAGUGACAUGAUGAUAUGUACAGCUAAUAGGGGUGGUUUAGACUUUAGAUCGAGCACCUGGGGGGCGACGAUGUGGCGCAAAUGCAAGGAGACCUGGCCCUCGUCCCCAUCCUCGUGCGCGUGCCUGUGCGCGUGGCCGUGGGCGUGGCCGUGGUGGUGGUGGCUGUGGCCGUGCGCCGCCGCGUGCGCGCGCAUCCUGACGAUGUGCACCGCGUUGCCGCCCUUGGCGAAGCCCUCGUUCUCGUCCUCGUCCACGGGUGGCUCCAGCGCCGCCGUGGUGAUGGAGCGCCCCUCGUCGUCCUCUGCCGUGGCGUCGGUCUCGGCGGUGGCGGCGGCGCGGUGCUUGCGCUCGUAGAACUGGGUGACGAGGAAGUCGAGGACGAGGGUGGCGAGGGCGGCGGCCAUGGCGACGAAGCCGGAGAAGGGGAAGCGGAGGAGGCAGGGGUCAGUGAGUGCGGCCUCGACGUCGUGGAGCAUGUGGACGAAGCCCGUGGUGAGGAUGAUGCCUGCGGCGAAGGUCUUGGCGAGGGCGAAGAACCCGCUCUCCGUGCUCAGGAGGCGCCGCCGCUUCCGCCCCGCCGGCAGCGGGAGCCGGCGACAUGGAGGCGGAGGAGCCGGCGAUCAAGUUGGGACUUUGGGAGAGAAAGAGGAUAACUUAAGGAAUUGGCAUAAUAAGUUAGGGGUAAAAUAGGUAUUUUAUAUAGGUUUUAACUCUAGUAUACAUUUAACUCAUGUUUAACUCGAGUUAAGCUAACAGGGGAUAACUGCGGGGGUGUUUUGGAAUAACGGUGGAACAUAUGAGGGGCAUUUUAGAAAGAAAAAAAAAGUAGGGGUAGAUCGGAUAUUUCCGAACGCAUGAGGGGUAUAUAGGUAAUUAUCCCUUUUUUAAUAUAGUUAUUCCAACUAAAAAUUCUUAAUUAUUUCUCUUUGUUUGGCACUCCGUUUGUCUAUUACUGAUUACAUUUUAAUUUCUAAAACUCAAAAUUUUUAUUCUCUUGUCUUGUAAUUUAGAUUUAACAACAAUAUUAUUGUAAUCAAUCACCAUUUUUAAUUAUUCACAUAAAUAUUAAGCAUGAUUACGUCACGUAAGCAUGUAGAAGGAAAGGUUUUAGCCAAUGAUAAUGACUUGUCAACUACCAAUGGAUGGUCCUUUAGAUUCUUUUAGUUACUAACGUUAAGCAUAAUAAUUGUCCUAAUAGCAGUAGUACUUCUUGUUGUCAUUGGAUUAUUGUCCUAGUGUUAUUAUAUUGUCUCGCAAAAAAAAUUAAGCAUUUGCAUGCUCUUCUUUUAACUCUCUACCUUUUAAAAACUUUGAAGGCUCCACAAUAACACAUAAUAUAUAUAUAAUCAAGAAUAAUCGGUGCCAACUGUUCCAACAAUUACCUGAUAAAUUUCGAAAAAUAUUAAGUCUACAGCCCAUUUUGCGUUACAAUCUAUACAACCCUUCGCCCCGGUGUUAUCCAUACAAAUAAAUUAAUUGACAGUUUCUUCUGUACACGUGUCCACUCCUCCUUUCUUCUGUUCUCUCUUCAUCUCUUCUCUCUCCUCCCUCCCAUACCAAAUAUGAAUUUUAUGAUUACAUCUUAGGAAGAUAUCAAAUCUUUCCAAAUCCACCUCGAGAAGGUACCAAAUCUAUACAAUGAUUACACCUUGGAAAGGUACUAAAUCUUUCCAAAUCUACCUCGACAAGGUACCAAAUCUAUCCAAUGAUUACACCUCGGGAAGGUAAUAAAUCUUUCCAAAUCCACCUCGGAAAGAUACCAAAUCUAUCCAAUUUUUUUUUUUUUGACAAAAUUCUCAUUUCCUUAUCUCGGGAAGGGACAAUUCUCAACUUGAUUCGGGUGUGUAUAUAGGAGAACCUAUACUCAUGAGGUUAGAACCUUGAAAAAAUUUUCUAGUUGCCUCUUCUUCCUCUGUUCCUCAUGCACUAAACUUCACUCUCUUUAUACUAAGUUUUAUAUUUCUUUUGUAUUUUUUCCUGGAUCUCUGCGAGCUACUUGGGUUUAUGUUGUACCAUCCUGAAGACGUGCCGACGAGGUGGAAGGUGAUCGUUGUAUCGCUAGAAGUGUUUGACGGAACCUAUACAAAUAAACUAAUUGACAGUUCCUUCUGUAUACGUGUCCACUCCUCCUUUUUCCUCUUCUCUCUUCAUCUCUUCUCUCUCCUCCUUCCCAUACCAAAUAUGAAUUUCAUGAUUACACCUCGGGAAGAUACCAAAUCUUUCCAAAUCCACCUCGGGAAGGUACCAAAUCUAUGCAAUGAUUACACCUCGAAAAGGUACCAAAUCUUUUCAAAUCCACCUCGAGAAGGUACCAAAUCUAUCAAAUGAUUACACCUCGGAAAUGUUACAAAUCUUUCCAAAUCCAUCUCGGGAAUGUACCAAAUCUAUCCAAAUUUUUUUUGACAAAAUUCUCAUUUCCUUAUCUCAGGAAGGGACAAAAUUCUCAACUUGAUUCGGGUGUAUAUAUAGGAGAACCUAUACUCAUGAGGUUAGAACCUUGAAAAAUUUUUCUAAUUGCUUAUUCUUCCUCUGUCCCUCAUGCACUAUACUUCACUUCUCUUUACACUAAGUUUUACAUUUCUUUUAUAUUUUUUACUGGAUCUCUGAGAGCUACUUGGGUUUAUGUUGUACCACCCUGAAGAUGUGUUGACGAGGUGGAAGGUGGUCGUUGUAUCGUUAGGAGUGAUUGGCGGAACCUAUACAAAUAAACUAAUUGACAGUUCAUUCUAUACACGUGUCCGCUCCUCCUUUCUGCAACUCCUCCUUUCUCCUCUUUUCUCUUCAUCUUUCCUCUCUCCUCCCUCCUAUACCAAAUAAAUAUGAAAUUCAUGAUUACACCUUGGGAAGGUACCAAAUCUUUCCAAAUCCAUCUCGGAAAGGUACCAAAUCUAUGCAAUGAUUACACCUCAGAAAGGUACCAAAUCUUUUCAAAUCCACCUCGACAAGGUACCAAAUCUAUCCAAUAAUUACACCUCAGGAAGGUACCAAAUCUUUCCACAUCCACCUCGGAAAGGUACCAAAUUAACUAUCCAAAUUUGUUUCGACAAAAUUCUCAUUUCUUUACCUCGGCAAGGGACAAAAUCGUCAACUUGAUUCAGAUGUGUAUAUAGAGAACCUAUAUUCUCAUGAGGUCAGGAUCUUGAAAAAAUUUUCUAAUUGUUUUUUCUUCCUCUGUCCUAUGCACUAAACUUCACCUCUUUACACUAAGUUUCACAUUUCUUUUGUAUUUUUUUACUAGAUCUUUGAGAGCUACUUGGGUUUGUAUUGUACCAUCCUGAAGACGUGCCGACGAUGUGGAAGGUGGUUGUUGUAUCGCUAGGAGUGAUUGUUGGAACUUCGCACGCAGAGGGGCAAUCUUGCUUCUAGGUCAGUGUUUUUGCACACUUCGAUUCAAAGGCCUCAUCUUAACCUCUUUUCUCUAUAAUAUUUUCUACUUAAUCCGUCCUUAUAAUUUUUCGAAAACAAAAGUUAAAAUUAUUUUCUUUUAGAAUUGUUUAAAAACUAAAUUGUUCACGCUAAGUAUAUGUUUGUAUAUUAGUGUUAAAACUAUCUACGGUGAAGCGCGGGUUCAACACUAGUAACUACUCUUCUAGGGUUUAGUCAACCAUUUUUGGGUUUUUAGCAUAAAAGAGAGAGAGAGUGAGUGACAAGACUAGUGUAAAAUUUAUGACUUUUGGAUGAGUGUUAAUAAUAUUACAAUCUAAAGGUGGUUGUAAAGGUAGCAUUGCUUAUUUCCUUUUAAUAUUUCUAUGUUAAACUUCAUGCUUAUUUUUCUAUUUGAAUUAAAACUAUCAUAGAAAGAUACACUUAGAAAUGCUAUAUAGAUCCAUAUUAGUAGAAAACAAUGAUAUAAAUGAUAUGAAGCAAAUGAAAUCAACCAAGAGGAUUAAUUGCAUCCCUAUUAAUUCUUUAUCUCUCUCUCUCUCUCAUUAUUUGGGUGUCAUGGUAUUGAUUAGAAAUAGGCAUAGAGACAAUUAAGUCCAUAUGAGGGACCACACCAUUGGUCCAUUGCCCAAUUUGAUUAAUAGGUAGGGGCACAUGGAUGCUAUAUUAUUUUUUUUUUAAAGUGUAGCCCACUAUUUAUAUUGCUGAGCUUUGGUUUUCAUUAAGGUUUGGUUAGGAGAAUGAGUGAUUACAUAGCAAAACCAACAAUUUGAGUUGAAGUUGAAUCAAAUAAGAUGAUGAUCUAUUCAAAUUGGUUGACAUUUGAAGCUGUUUUAUUGAAAAACAAUAAAUAAGGUUGAGGAUUCUAUUUCUGUUCAAUUACAAAACUUUUCAAUUGAGAAAAAGUUCUCGUUGGAUCUUCCUUGCUUGUUAGAGAUAUCAAAUUAAUCGACAACCCUUACUUGAAAUCGAUCCCCUCAUCUAGGGCUCAAACCUGUGAAUCGUAAGAGCUAACCAGCUAUUUCAAAAGCACGCCAACAAUCCCCCUAUUGUCAUGUAAUUAGCUGUCACAAAAGCACCCGAGCAGUCCCUGGCUAUUGUCACCGGACAAGAAGUUGGAUUUAUUUUAGCAAAUAAUAAAUAGCAAACAAUCUCCCUUCAAACAUUUGUACCGUUAAUGUAGGCAUAUGGGAAUCAAACCAACGUCACUGGCUCCGAUACCACUUAUAGAUUGUAAGAGCUAACCCAAUAUCUCAAAAGCACGUACUAAUAGAAAGGUCGUAUCCAUCACAUUUAAGAGCUCUUUAACCUGACUCAACCCGCUAAAUCGUUAGGUCUAUUGUUGGAUUUCUUGCCGUUAGGUCUAUUUUUGACCAAUGCCUCACUCUACUUAUUAGGUUCAUCCAACUCAACUUAUUAAUCUAUAGGGUCUAUUGUCACGCGACAGAAAAUUAAACCUAUUUUAACUAAUAAUAAAUAGCCAAUAGAACCCUCUUGGAUGUCCUACCAAUGGAAUACCGAUAGUCCGAUAGAAAAAUGCAUAAAUACAUUCAUAUACGUACACGAAGAAUUUGCAGAUCGAAGAAGUUUCUAAUUGUAUAAGAUAACUUAGUUAAACUAUAUGAAACAAUCAUUAUUUUUUAAAACGUAAGCUAUGAAGGAUAGUAUUUUUAUAUUUAUAUUCAACAAAUUUGUAGUAUAAGAGCAAACCCUUUUUAUUCCAAACGAAAUUAGGUUAAUUAACUUCAUACUGCAUGGUUAAUUAGAAUCUAGAAUAAAACCAAUUUGAUUCCAUUUAAAAGAAAAACCCACAAAACCGAACCGAAUCGACCUGAUUUUAUGUAACACCCAAACAAUUCCUCAUCGGAUGGAAAUAGAGUUCAAAUUAGGAAUAUAAGAGGCCAGGCAUCCUAGCGAUAAUAACUGAAAUUAAGAUAUUUUGGGUCGAUGGUUUGGCCCAACAAAUAUUGCUAGCGGGAUUAUUAUUGCUAGCUGGUCAGAUCGUUACAUCUCAUUUGUAUUUUCUCUCCUUAACUUGUGAUUGUAGGCCCCAAUGUUCUAUCUUUUGAUGGAUGAGGAGUGGUUGGCAUUCAUUUAACUGGGAUCCACUUCUACCCUAAUUCUCUUGUUUAGUGUUUGGGAGGUGACCUCAUCAUCAUCAUGUCUUUCUCCAACUUUUCAAUUGAGUCAUCAUCUCUAGGGUUUUAAUCAUAAGGUUUUGUAUUGUAUUGUAUUGUAGGUUUUUGUAUUGCAUUAUUGAAUGUCAUGAUAUGAAAACCCUAACAAAUUCUUCAAAUGUUGAAUCAAAGUAGACAAAGUCUUAGAUGUUUGUAUUGAAUUUUAUAGAUGGAUAAAAAUUAGGGAAAAAACACAAUGUACAAAGACCUCCGAACUGCAGCGCUUUUGUAAACAGACGUUCGAACUUUUAAUUUUAGUCGUUAGAUUACCUAAAUUUUGUCUAAUAACAUUGAAAGUUUGUCCAAUAACUUAAUAGCACUCCCCCAUCCCAUAAACUUUUAAUUUUGGUUGUUAGAUUACCUAAACUUUGUCCAAUAAUUAAUUUUGGUUGUUAGAAUCCAUCUUCAUAUUUUAUUUUUUAUUUCUCUGGUAUUAUAACAAAAGAAAUAGUUUUUUUUUUUGUACAUUUUUUAGCCCAAAAUAACUUAUCUUUUAAAACUUAAAAAAAAAAGACAUCUAAAAUCCAAUUUCACAGAAGCAAGCAAAAAAAAUGCAAAUUAAAAAAAAAAAAAAAAAAAGUCAAGUGGGUCACAAGCAUUCUACUGAGCCGAGAGAGACAAUUCUCUAAUGAUGAAAAAAGGGAAUUUUUUUUUCCCUCAUUUCCCUGCUGAUAUUACAUUAAUUGGCCACUUACUAAUCCAAAGAAUUAUUACUGAUACAUCUGAAAACAAAAACAAAAAAACAAAAAAAACAAAAAAAAAUCUAUCCAACAGUACCUAGUUUUUUUUCUCUUUUUUUUUUUUCCUUUUUUUGUCAACUCCUAUGAAAAAUCUAGGGUUGACAAAGAGGAGGCUAAAAUGUGUUAUACUGCUACAGUUAUUCACCCUUUUUGUCUUCCCCCUCUAUUUUCCUUUCUCUGUAUUGUAAAUGUUGUGUGUUACAAAAACUGUACAGAAUCAAUGUCAGAAACAAACAGGUCACAACUAGCCUUUUCUCUGGCUGUCAGCUACCCUAGGGUUUCGUUCGACGACGAAAUGGUCGAUAAUCCGCACCGAGUUGACGGGGUCGGGACCCGAGGCCGCCUUCCACUUGCUCGGGAACCUUCGGAAGUGGCUCAGCUGCAAAGGUUGCUUCGGUUCCGCGUCCCAGUCGGGGUCUAACUUCCACUCUUUCGGUACCUGAUUCAAUGAAAGGAGUAUAAAAGUCGAGCUCGCGUGCAAGGAUAAUAUAAACACAAACCAUCAGAAAUAUAUUUAAAAUUUCCGGGUGUAAUGGGAAAAACCAUGAUAAAUAGGCUGAGGAAAAGGGCGAAAUCUCCGUAGUGGAUCGCUACGCAAGUUGGUGCUCGAGAUACCUUAGGUUAAACAAUGUAGCGAGAAAUUUAUCUAAGAUUUCGAAGUACUAUGAAUUGUUUAAGGGAUCGAUAGUGGCGUAGUCGAAAAUAAGAGUUAAAUGAAGGGAGGAAAAAAAAACAUGAAAUCCGUAGGACAACCCAAGUUAUAGUAAUGAUUUGAUAAUAUGUUGUAAGGUGGCCGCCCAGUUCAAAUCCUAAGGGGGUGUUUGGUUCCUCGGAAAAGCGUGGAAAACUGUAUUCCCAGAAAACACCCUUUUCCACAGUUUUUGUUUUUCAGAUUAAAAAAUUGGGAAAAGAAAACAGUAGUUUUCCAUGAAAUCUAGAGAAAGAUCUUUUUCUUGGAACGGAACCAAACAGACGGAAACCAGUUUUCCAGCCAGAGAAUUAUUUUUUGGGCCAUUUUCCGGAGAACCAAACAGCCCCUAAUCGAAAGCCAUGUACUCAGCAAGUGGAUAUUUGGUACUUGGUUUAUAAGAUUAUAUGCAUAAAUAAGGCGGGACUAAAAUCUAAAUAAUCUCUUUCUUCAGAUUAAGGGGUAAAAAAAAAGGCUAGAAAAAGAGAUUUAUUUCUUACUUUAUCGACUGCAAGGCUAAAAACCUCGAGGUCGCCAUUUUUAGUGAUAUGGAAGCGCGUGAAAGCCUUGUAAUUCGCGAUGCGGAGGGAGGAGAAGGCUUCAUCGAAAUGAACGUGGAACCAGUUGAUGCAGAUGUACAAAUAGCUUCCGAAAACAAGCGAUACGAUGGGAGUAGAGAAGACCCAGAAAUAGGUGAAAACAGAGGCAUAGUAAAUUAUGGCGCCGCCGCGAGGGAGUGAUUCGAUCCCUCUCUUGCAGAUUUGGCUUCUCGUUACAGCCAUAACCUGCAAGCGAAAGAAGCAUUUAUAAAAUAUUUGACAAGAAAACUUAUGUUGCGGCUUCUACGUGUAUAUAUCUGCAAAAAAAUGCACACAUCUAAAGCUGGGGAGUCAUACAAUUCAUGGGCUCAUAUUUGGAAGAGAUUAUAUGAAAAUUCGACAGAUAUUAAAAUGCUAAUGCGCAUGUGUAACCAUCUCUAAAGAAUAUGGCCAAAAUGUAAAAAUGACACCAAAAAAACUAUGCCGUGUUAAAGGGUCGUCACCUCGGGAAUGUCGAAUGCCGACAUGAGGUACUUAAUACAUGCAGGGUAGAGUCCGAACGUCCACUGCUCGAUCCGAGCCCUAAGGCCAGUUGGAUCCGGAAAGUGUUGGCUUUCCAUCGACCGAUACCAUUCAUAAAGAGUGUGAUAGCCUGAAAAUACAUACAGAUAUUAAAAUGCAGAGAUAUUAACAUAUACACUAACAAAUCUAAACAUUUACAUUAAUAUCGGAUUAACUGGUGGUUCCAAUACAAUAGCGCCUAAAAAAAAUUUUGCUUGUACAGUUGAAAUCAACCUUAAAUUGUAUGAUGGCAAGAAAUGAGCUAGAAAGAAAAGAAACAAACCUGAAGUCGCUAAUAGGUGAUUCCGGAUACAUAUCUCAAUACCCAAUUCCAGUAGCAGCAUCAAGAUUAGUGCUGAGGUCAGAUGCGCCACACCAUGCAGGACCCCAAUUAUAGCACGCUUUUUCCGCGAUAGUUUUGUGGGAACGAAGAAAAACGACGCCAUUAUCAAUACGAGAACACCAGCUAGAGAGACGUAAGAACGUUCUAGAAUGUAGAGGAAAGCGCCCCACAUCAUGCUAAAGAAGCCCUUGAGGCGGAUGGACCAACUAUCGUCAUGCAAUAUGUCGAAAAGAUCGCACUGAAUGAUAAAACACCCGAAAGUUAAAAGAGUCCUCAAAAUGUUAAUAUCCUCAUCAAUCUAGAAUCUUGACGUAGUACGACAUACGCACAAUAUAAAAUACAAAGAAUAAAACCAACUUUCUCAAUAACUUUAAUCUUAUCACGAAACUUGCAUACUUAAAAUUACAGGAGAACAAUUUAGAAAGCAUUAUAAUGCGUGUAAUGUGAAUAUAUAACUCAACUAGCUCUAAAGGUGUCUCACCUGUGGAAACAUAGAAAAGACCAGGACAAAGUAUAUAAUGCCGCCAAUGAUAUCAAAUUGCCAGUUUUUUCUUCGAAACUUCAAUAUGUUACCCAAUGCUAUCUGGAAAAGAAAAAUUUAUUAGUUGUAAAAAAGCUUAAAAAGAACGAUAUUCCAGGAUUUACAUAUAUGCCAUGCAAAAAAUGUAUAUUAUAUAACAUGUGAAGCUAAAUUUGACAAGCGAGAAAUCGAUAAAAGACCAAGAUGGGUCAACUAUGAUAAGUAAAAAUGAGAAGAAUUUAAAAAAAAGAAAAAUCAACCAUACCCUGCCAGAAUCCUCAAAAGAGGGAUAAGUAGCCUUGCUUUCGUAAGAAUUUCCAUAGAAUUUCUUGAAACCUCUGAACACAUGGGUCGGAUGCAAAAAGGCUCCGCCACAACCAUUAACAAGUAAAUGCUGGACGUGAACAGGUUCUCUUGAUGAUGAAACGCAAGCUUGCUGGACGUGAACAGGUUCUCUCGAUGAUGAAACGCAAGAAUGGCGCAUGUAAUGGUGCAAGUCCCCGGCCAUUCUAAGUUUGCAUCUUCCUUUAAGAUAAUCGCGUAUAAGAUAUGAGACAUUUUUUCCAGUAUCAUCACCCCAAUACCAAUCGAGAAGCCAAUUCGGUUCAUGGGUCAUAACAAUAACUGAAUCGUUUUCUCUGACCUGCAUGAAAUAAUUUUAUCUCCAUAAGGAUUGCAUAAGAAUGUUUAGUAAGAGGAUGUGCUCCGGAAGAGUCUCCUUCAAAUAUCAAACGAUUUUCUAUUUUGCCACCAUAAAAAAAUGAAGCCUAUAUAUUACCCUCUUAAACUAUAUGUAUAUAUUUUUAUCACUUUGCCUCCCUUUGUUAGGCAAUAUAUAUCUCUAUGCUUAUAUAUCAAUGGCAUAAAAUGAGAAGAAUAGUGAAUACAGUAUCAGGUAAUCUGCAUUUUACGAUCGCUAAAAGUAAUCCUCACCAGCCAACUACACAUACCUUAGUAUUUGGAACUUAGAAACCUUGAAGCUAUUGGUGUUCAGUGAUAAUGACAUAAAAAAGGGUCAAAGGCAUUUAGGGUAUGUUUGUUUCUCUUGAAGUGGGGUGCUCGAAGUGGAACUGGGAUGAAACAAGCAAGUUCCAUUAUUUGGUUCAUCUAGAACUCAUGAGAUCAAGCCGAUGUGCACCUCACUUCUGCACUUUUGAAUUGCUUUAAUAUUAGCCCGAAGUUGUGAGUUUGCUCGAACUCCUACCCCCAGAAAGUAGGGACUUAACGGAGCUCGUGUUUCGUGAUUGCCAAACAUGCCCUUAAUCAAACUAAUAUAGGUAUAUAUUCUUGUAACACCUCUUUUUUUUUUUAUUCCUUGCUAGUUUUCAUAUUUUUGUAGGCCAGUAAAAAAAAAUUCGUUAAGAAUCGUAAAAGAAAAUUGCAAAAUUAUCUGUUACUGAAAAAAAUAAUAAUAAUAAACCUUGUGUUGGCAUAGCUCCACGAAAAAUUUGAAUUGGUACACAUCAAUGUCACCGUGAAGAGCCUGGUCGAGACCAAAUACCCACCACCCUUUUGGGAGCUCCAAUGCAAAAUAACUCUUUUUCUGAGGCAUAAACCACCCACCCAACCAGCUUCUGUGGCAUAUGUACCUCAUAAAAGUGUGAAGCCCAUCAAACCAAUCUGCAGAAAACUAAGCAACUUAAUGACCAUGCAGUCCACAAUAUACAUUGAAAGAAAGAGGGGCGUAGUUUAAAAUUUGGUCGUAGAAUCCCAAUUUCAAUUGCAUCUUCAGAGUUCCAAUUUCAAUUAUUUAGUCUCUGAAGAUUGUUUUUAAGUAAAAUUAGGUCCUUCCAUUAUUUUUCCGUCUAAAAAGCCAUAACGUAAGCAUCAUGAACUCUAUAAAAGAUGCCAACAGUGGCGUAAAUAAAAUUGGAAGUUUGGAACUCAAAAGAUGCAAUUGAUAUGGCGACCAAACUUCCAGGACUAAAUUUGUAAUUAACCCAGAAACUAAAAAAAAAAAAAAAGAAAAAAAAAAGAAAAAAAAAGAUCGAAUACUAAGGCAAGAUCAACUGAUUUUUAGACCCACAAUACUACUAGAAAGGAAUUUUGUCCACGUGCAUCUAAAACGUAAUGAGGUUAUUUUACAUAAGAACAACGACGAACCGUGAUUUCCAGGAAUUAAGAAACACUGGGGCCCGCGAUAUCGUUUCAGCUCCGAGACCCCAAAUGGAAGCUCCGGUUUGUCCACCGCUAUAUGUUCAGCCUUGUACCACGGAGGAGGUUGGAAAGCAUAUUCAAAAGGACAGAAAAAGCGCCUCUCAUACGUAAAUGUAGAAGGAUUAGGGUACCUGUGUGGAGAUUUCAAAAACAUUUUAAACCAUACUUAAGAGUUAUUGCGUGCAUGAUAUCGUCCAUAAAGAUCCUAUUUAUGUAGGUCGAAACUUCGGGAUAUUAUUCUCGAAAAAAAAAAACACACGGUAGAGAUCAUUUAAUAUCAUCAAACUUCUGAGUCCAAAAUUCAAGUAUUUCAUUUCAUUAAUCAAUAAGCCAAAACUUCUCCUCUAAUUAUAAAAAUGGAAGCAUAAGAAAGGGAAAAAGGGGCCACAAUCUAAUUUAAUAUUAACCGACUUUUAUGUAAAAAGACAAAAAUUUCCUCGUAUCAAAUUAUAAGUCACUUUUUUCUGUUAAAUCAACAGGUUCUGUUUUCCCCAAGCUUAAGCUGGAAAAGAUAUAUAUAUAUAUAUAUAUAUAUAUAUAUAUAUAUAUAUAUAUAUAUAUAGGAUUGACCUCCUAUGUGUUUAAAAGUACCAAGCCAUUGGUGCUUGUAAGUUUUCGGCCCUUGGAUUAAGAGAUGUGCGGUUAGGAUGAUGUGGGCCCCCUAGGGUUGAGUGGGUGGUUGGUUGAAUAGUAUAAUCUAACGGAUGAAAAUGAUCAAAGGCAUAGAUCUAACGGUAAAAAAUUCACAAGCACCAAGUGCUUGGUGCUUUUACAAGCACCAUAACCGGACUCUAUAUAUAUAUAUAUAUAUAUAGAGAGAGAGAGAGAGAGAGAGAGAGAGAGAGAGAGUUUAGCAGCUGCAUCUAUAGUCAUUAAAGGUUGAAUAGGCCGAGGAGGCACUUAAUCUUUAGGAUAAAGGAAUGUUAGAUAAGAAUCUUACGCAAGGUCCCCUCCAAUAAGAAGCAAGUCUCCACGUGGGAGCUUUUGCACCGAGUCACCAUUUUUAAUCUGUAAUGAACGUUGUGCCAGUAAUCGGGCCACCGCAUAGGUAGAGUUUCCACCAUCGCCAGUAUCCGCAAUGAAAUCAAACCAAAGUUCGUCUCUGUUUUGAAGAUGAUCGUACAGUAGAUCGCUGUUUUUAGAUUCGUCAGGAACCUUGUUCAUAGCAGCCUGGUUGAUUUGGAUGGAAAAAUGGAAUCAAACAGAUUAUGAAAAAAGCAAAAGCAAAUGAGCAUGAUCACAGACCAUGAUAUAUUUACAUUUGCACCCCUGCGAAAUUAGUGUAACCAUGCAAAAUCUGAAUGUUCAUUACCUUUGAAAACUUAAUUUGUUACAUAUUUAUAACGUUGUACAUGCAAAAAUGCCCCUCUUCUAGAGAACUCUUCUGAUAGCACUAAACCAACUUCCCCCCAUAAAUUAGCCGACUCCCAAUUUAAUGUAAAGGUUUCUUUUGUUUUAAUAAGAAACUGCUCUUUCAAGGGUAUGUAAGAAAAUUCAGAUUUUUACAGGUGUGUAUGCGCAUAAAUAUAUAUACAUAUAUAGAUGAUUUUGCAGGGUAAAAAUUCUAUUUUGUUUAUAUUUAUUAGAUACCUGCAUCAUUCGCAUGUCAAAUCGACCAACAAAUAGAGUCACGGAUACCAUGAGAUCAAACACCGUCUUGAAUAAGUCAGUGGAAGUCCUAAAAUAUGAAAAGGAAAGGAAGCAGUGAAUUCCUAUUGUCGCCUUAAAAUGGAAAAAGAAAAAUAAGAAAAAUAAAUGUAGGCUUAGCCGAUAUUAGCAUACCCCGAAUACCAAGGUACCAUGUCCAAGAAAUCAGGUUUCAUUUGUUUCUUCAACUUCUCGUACUCUGAUAUUGUCAUAGGAUGAGUGAGAGCCCAUCUGUGACAUCGGAAAGGCAAAUAAAGGACAAUUAGAUAACAUAAACUAAAUCCAUUUGAGUAAUAAGCCAAAGAUUUUGCAACCUUUACAUAGAAAUUACGCUAAGAUGAAGGAAACCUCUUACAAAAUAUCGCUUUUUUUUUUUUUGUUUAACGUCGCAACCCAAAACAAAAACAAGAACAAAACCUAUAUAUAAUCCAUAAGUAUAAUUGUCAUUACUUUGCCUCUUUCCAUCAAUCUUCAUCAAGCAAUACAUAACAUAAAAUAAACUCAAAAUGAUGUACGCAUCAUCUUCAACCGUCUCCUCUACAUGAAAUAUUACGUAGUAAAAGAAAGUAGCAUUUAUGUUUAAGAGUUAUAGUGAAUUAACAUACCCAGUUGAUCGUUCGAUGACAUAAUUAGCGAUGUAGAGUCCGAUAAACGUUGCCCACAAUGAAUAUAAAGGUGAUAUUUCAUCUGAAAGGUGAGGACAUGAUCCAUUGCAAGCUAACUGUUGAAAACAAAUAACAAAAAUAAUAAACCCAGAAAUUACGAAAAGAAAAAGAUAUAUAUAAUAUCAUAAGAAAGCUGGAGAAAGUUCGGUAUACCUCCCCAUAGAUGACCCAUUUAGAAAAGAGCGGGUAGUCGCUAGCAGAACCAACCGGCGCAAACCAGGAAGAACAAAUUUGGUCCUUCCACUCGUGCAUUUUAAGGAACUUGGAUAUCCAUAUAUUUCUAUCUUGCUUGUUCCACAAAGGGAAAGAAAACCAAUUUGAGUUUCUUCUAUCAAAGUGCUUCUCUCUUGUGAUAGCUCGGUUACCGCAGUGGCUGUAAAAUACACAGCAUGCUAUACUUAUGACCUGCAUAAUCGCAGGCGUUACACACAGCAGAAAUAUUAGGUACAUAGCGCUUGGUUUAACCUUUUUAGGAGGUUUCAGUUUAGCCCACAACCAUUCGAUAAUCGAUACUUAUUAUCAGGUCACUAAACAUUGCACUCUAUGUGAUCUAAUCCUUGUUGUUUAAUCCCGUGGUUAAAUUGGAUUCGAAUGCUCACAAAAUCAACAUAUGAGAAGUCGAAUAGUUAGAUGAUGAUUACAUGGAUGUGUCUGUCCCAGUUAACAGAGAAAUGAAAUGAAACAGUAAAUAUUGCGAUGAAAUGGAAUAAUUAGGCACCUAAUUUAUUCAUAUAUAUCGAAAGGUUGUAGAACAAACUGAGAUCAAUUUACCCCGAAAAAGGUCACGAACCAACAUCAAUUUGUUGUGUGUUAAGACAACUUUAAGAACUUACUGCACAGUUUUGGAUGAUAGUGAGUAUCUCUGGUCUCUUUUCAGCCAUUCGCGAAACCAGGCCCAAGUACCAAAGCCCGAGAAAUAUAAUGUGGAAAACAAUAAGAAAAAGAAGCGAGGUGAUAUAAAUUGUGAUGAAGAGAGAAAGGUUCAUUCUCAAGUCGACUCCCAUCGACUGAAAACUCGGAAGAUGAUAUAAAGCUGCCAUGAAGAUCCAUGCAAUGUACCUGCAGAACAAAUGAGACUGACACAUUUACCUUGUUUUUGUCCAAUAAAUAUGCCCAUGUAUUAAAAAAAAUUGCCCCCUUUAAGAAACUUAUUCAGAUUCAAAACAGCAUUUCCCUGAAUUAGACGACUCCCGAAGUUUGUGGGUGCUUUUCUAAGAAACUGCACUUUCGAGGGGAUAAAUAGGAGCACCGGAAUAUAUAGUUUUACAUAUUAUUAGAAAAAGAAUAACGUACCAACGGCUGAAGUUAGAAUAACUUGGCUUGAUAGUCUUCCUAAUGAAAGGAGAAGAGAAGAAAUAAAAGAAACCGAUCAGGCAAAUGUACAUGGACCACCACUUGAUGUUUUUGUCCAUUUUUUGUAUGAGGGUGUGCAAAUUAUCCGAUGAAAUGAAAAAGAUCCAUCCUAUUAUAACCGCGGUCAUUGCAUGCCUCGAAUGCUCGUGAGGGUACGGAUAUUGGUGAGCCAAUAUCGUUCGAACUCUAUCCAUUUUGAAGGAUUCAAAUAUAGGACCUAUAGAUUGCUUUUCUGCGCUCAUGGAACUAAAAUUUAAAAACAAGCGUAAUUUAUCGCUGUUUUAACACCUGUGCCUCCACGAGAGAUAUGUUCCAAGGCGUAGUUUGGCUCUGCAUAGAAAGAAGCAAAAUCUUUAGUUUCAGUAUCCUAACCUGCUAAAAUUCAGAAACAUGGAUAACUUAACAAAAGUAGACAGGAAUUGUUGCAGGUUUCUUGGAUCGACAUCUCAGUUAACAAGUUACACUGCGAAUCUCAUAAUCACACUAACAAAAACAGGGAAAAAAAUGUCUCACUGAAACUUUUUUGUGUACCAUAAGAUUAUAUAUAUUGGAAUCUGUUGGAUAUAAAAGUAAAUAUACUGUAGAGAGAAGUUGUUGGGGGUUUCUAAUUCAAUGCAUUACUCAAACCACACUUCAUCAAAAACAAGCCCUAAGUAACCAAUAACCAAAAAAUUGGGAACCCAAACUUACAAUUAAGACUCAAAACCCCGGAAAUAGACAAAUCCCAAGCUCAAGUUUCCAACCAAAGGGGAUUUUAAGCAAAAGGAAUCACAUUGUUUUACGGUCUCGAUCCCACAAGCUCAAUUUUCCAACCAAAGUACAAAAUGAGAAAGAAAGGGGCUUCAAUCAAGACAAAUCCCAAGCACCCCGAACUUCCACUCUUCCACCAAAAAUAUCAUAACACAAUAUAAAAUCACACUUGCAUCACACUAUUAACUCAUCCAUUAAUGAUUUUUAUAUGUACAUAACCCAUUUUUUGUGCAAAACUAAUCACACACCAGAAUUGAACAAGCAAACCAAAUUCCAAUAUCACAUCGCUAAAGAGCACAUAUCCAUGAAUUCAAACACAUUCACAGCCAAAAUUGGUUGGUGGGUACAGAGAAUUUAUGAAAAUUUGCACCAAAAAAUGAUGGAGAAGAAGAAGAAGAAGAAGAAGAAGAGCAAAAUGUCUCAUAACAUCACACAAGCCCACACUCACAAUUCAAUGUUACAUUAAAUUUAAUCUCACAUAGCUAUUGACCACCACUCACCCAUGAAGAAAUUGCAGGUAAAAGAAAAAAAGAAAAAAAGAAAAACCCAACUUAGGGAAAGAUUUACACAAUUCAAUUGUGCUUGUUUGUGCAAAACUACAUCACAUACCCAAAAGACCAGAACCCACCAUCCAUAAUCACACACAGGAACAAGCAUACCAAAAUUCUAAUCACACAUCACAAAACACAUCCAGAGCCAAAAUGGGUUGUCGGGAAGAGAAAUUUAUGAACAAUUUAUGCAGGAAAAGGUCCAAAAAGGGGAACUUUCGAGAGGUUAAUAGAGGAGGAGGAAGAAGAAGAAGAAGAAGAUGUGGGUUCUUCAGGGAGAAUCUAUUCCCAACACACCCAAUAACCCUAAAAACUCCUACCAAAUUGUGUCAUAAACACCACACAAGGUCACACUAACAAUUAAAUGAUACAUCAAAUUUAACCUCAUACAACUACUCACCAUGAACACAAAACCCACAAUUCACAACAACACAUGGGAACAAGCAUAACCAAAUUGUAAUCACACAUUACAAAACACAUCCAGACCCAAAAUGGGUUGUUGAAUACAAAAUUUCUGAACAAUUUUUGGAGGAAUAGGAUCAAAAAAAUGGGAACUUUACCUGAAGAGGGCUUUAUAGAGGAAUAAAAGAGCAAGAAGAAGCAACUAAAUGAUACAUCAAAUUUAACCUUACACAACCAUUAAGAAAUCAGAAAAAAAAAAAAAGCCCACAAUUUGCAACUUAUGGGAACAAGCAUAACCAAAUUGUAAUCACACAUCACAAAACGCAUCCAGAUUGUUGGGUACAAAAAUUUCUGAACAAUUUUCGCAGGAAUAGGAUCAAAAAAAUGGGAACUUUACCUGAAGAAGCGAUUAAAUGAUACAUCAAAUUUAACCUUACACAGCUACUUACCAUGAACUCACCCAUUAAGAAAUCAGGGGAAAAAAAAAAAAAAACCAAAAUUCACAGCAACAAAUAGGACAAAUCCAGGGCCAAAAUGGGUCGCUGGGGACAGAGAAUUUAUGCAAUUUUUUUUGCCAAAAAAUGAUCAAAAAAAGAGGAAAAAGGAGAGGGCUUUACCUGAAGAGGGGUCCCAAAAGAGGAAUGAAACAAGGGAGAAGAGGAGGAGAAGGAGAAGAGUGCGAGGGUUUUUAUUCAGUGGGAAAAGAAAAUGAGAAAACGAGAAAAAUGAGAAAAAAAAGUUGAGAAAUUGGGGAUUCGUUUUCUCGGUUUCUGAUCAACAAUGGGAACAAAUAUGGAAAAUGGGGAAAGAGAGAAAAAAAAAAAAAAAAGUUAAAAAAAAAAAUUAUUAAAAAAAAGAAAAGAAAAAAAGCAUAUGUGGGGAAUCUUCUAAGGAAGUUCCUUGCGGGAAGAAAGCAAAGCAUCAUGCUUAAAAACAAAACAAAAAAAAAGAAAAAAAAAAAAAGAAAAUCAGAAUUUACAUGAAAAAGUAACCGACAGCACGUCACACCCACUUCUGCACCCAAAAGUCUACCUAAGACUUUUUAUUUUUAGAAUUAGGGCUUUCUGCAAAUAUCUGUAGAAAUUUUACAGAGAAUUUUUACUGUGUGCCUUCUUAUUUGGGACUCGAGAUUGUGGCUCUCGGCCUAUGUAUCACGGACACUUUUAUAAGACUCGCGUGUCUGUAUCUUGGACGCGGGUUUAAUGUCGAGUAGUGCAUACAAUUAAAAAAAUAUGCAUGCAUAUUUUGAUUUUACUUUUUUUAUACAUAUAUAAUGUAAGAUUAUAAAUAUUUUAACUUUUUAAUAAAUAUAUAUAAUUUUUUUGACAAUAUAUAAAUAUAUUAUAUAUGAAGGAAAAUUUUUUUCUUAAACUAUAUGAUCUGAAAAUUUUAUUAAUUUUCAUUCAUAUAAAAAAUAUAACAAUAUUUUGCUAAAACUAAUAUUAUAUAUAUAAUAAAUAUAUAUAUUAUUACAUUAAUAAUAUUAUUAUAUUUUAUUAACAUUAUUUGUAUUGUGUUCGUGUUCUAUUUUUUUGAAGGCUGCCGAGUAAUUGUGUCCAAAUUGUGUCGUGUCCUGUGUUACGUGUCAGUAUUCGUGACGUCUUAUCUUCGACAGUGUUCUACAAAGAUGCCUUAUAACUCAAGUUAAUUUGUAAAAUACUAGUCAUAUGUUUGCCCUAGUAAUAUAAUUGUGGCCAAGUAGAUUCAAUCUCCCAUAUGUGUGUAAAAAUGAGAGUCGAAUAAUAGGAUUAGAAUAUUCGAUCUUUUGGGUUAGAAUAAUAUAGGCUUGAGAGUGUUCUAGCAAGAUUUAAAAAAGAAAAAAAAAACACUAUUCGUGGGUGAAUAAGUGGGUGAUUUGAAUUUUACACAAUCUUUUUUCUACUUUUAAGUAUUUUGUAAUUUUUUUUUUUUAACUAACCUAUUAUAUUUUGCCAAUUUAGCACCCACCGCCAUGCCAAUAGAAUAGCUGAAGAAUAUUCCAGAUAUAAUUUGUAGGGAAAACUUCAAAAAAAAAAACCGUGGUUUCGCAGUUUCUCACUUUGCCCCCAUAUAGUUUAAAGUGUAUCGAUUUGGCCCAAUGUGGUUUCAUUUUUAUCUUUUUGGUAGCUUUUUCGUUAAUAUUUCAUUAAAUUAUAUAUAAAAAACUUCAGAUACCCAUCUAGAUUUAUCAAAUAUUCACUUUAGUACCCUUCAAUUUUAACUUUAUCACUGAUUUAAGAAAAAAAAAUAAUGAAAUUGAUAAGAAAAAGAGAAAAAAGAAACCACAGGGGGGCAAAUUGAUAUAUUUUAAACCACAGGGGGGCAAAGUGAGAAACUGCGAAACCACAUGGGGAGUUUUUUGAAGUUUUCCCUAAUUUAUAAGCGUCCCCUAAAAAAAAAAUUACAGAUGAUCCUAACAAAUUUAAAAAAUAUUUACAGAUGAUCCUAACAAAUUUAUCUUUACAUAUCUGACUCCCUCCUUGCCAUGCGAGUAAAAUAUUGGCAAUUUUAAAUUGAACAUAAUGAUUGAAUCACCAUAUUCAUAUUCACACUUUAGUCACUUUUUUUGACUUAUAGAUAAUAAAAAAUACAAAAAGUAAUACGGUGAUCCAAUCACAGUAUUUAAAUUCAUAUUUCAGUUUCUUUUUUUUACUUAACAAUAAAAAAAGAAAUUCGAUGAUUCAAUUGCUGUGUUUAAAUCACCGUGUUCAAUUUAAAAAUGACGCUCGCGUAACAAGAAAAGAGCUAUUUAUGUAAAUAUAAAUUUAUUAGGACCAUUUAUAAAACAAAAGUUUCGAAGGGCUUAAAUACAAAAAAAGCCCUUUACCAGCUCUUCUGCUUUAUUUUUCCAUAGUUUUGAUUUAGAUUGCCCAGUUGCUUGAAACCAGGUCAUUCAUUAAGGGGCUAUUUGAUUGCACGUAGUUAUAAUUGUGUUGUAAUUGUAACUGAAUUCAAAUUUAAUUUUUGAAAAAAAAAUAAAUUAUCUCGCAAGUGAAAUACUUUAUUCUAUCAAAUUAUAGAUGUCAAAACUUUUUCAGAAGCAAAAAAACAAAAAAUAUAUAUAUAGUAGGUCUUGUACGCUAUUAGGAGCACAGAGGCCUCUGUACUCCUAAGCCGUUUUCGAUGAUGGGACUUCCGAAUCGACGAUCGGCACUGUUAGAUUUGAUCUAGAAUAUAUGAACUAUUUAGAAAAUAAUUUCUGCAGAUUUUCGAUAUCAUUUACCUAGUGAUCGAAAGAAUUCGAGAUCAAUAAUUUUUAAUAAUUGAUGUAUGCCGUUUGCAAGUUUAACAGUAUAAAAGUAUUUAAAUCAGAUGAAAUUUUGAUAAAAAAUUCUUUAUGCCAUCUACAACAAGAUCAAUAUCUCUGAUCGAAAAUUUUUAGUGUAACAUCAUAACUUUUUAUGAGAUUUUUAUUUUUAGCCGUUGAUUUUGAGUCCUUUCGAUCACAAGUAAUGAUAUCGAAAAACCGAAAAAUUUAUUUUCUAGAUAGUUCAAAUACACUAGAUCAAGUCUAACAGAACUGAUCGUCAAUUCAGAAGUCCCACCCACGAGCACCUGCACCCGUUGGUGCCCCUCGCUGCCACGUUGAUCCCAACUGAGAAUUCAUAUUAUAUAUAUAUAUAUAUAUAUAUAUAUAUAUAUAGAUAAUAAAAAUAAAAUUUUAAUAUUUUAAUAAAAUUUAUAUUUAUAGCUUAUAGGAAGUUAUAUCAUGUUAAGCACAGUCAAUUUGCAUGACUAAAUUUAGUUGUUAAAAAAAUAAAAUAAUAGCUAGAAGCAUAUGAAAUACAUAAAUAAUAACUUAACGUAUCUGGCUUAAGAAAAUUUUGGUUGGCGUCUCAGACUCCAAUCUCCGCAUCAUACUUUUUAAUCUACGAAAGAAAUUUUGCCCACAACAGUGUCUACUAAAAAAAAUGAUUAUAAUAUGAAAAUAAAACAAAAAACAUCAAUCUUAAAAAAAUUAAUAUUUUUUUAGAGCACUUCUCUUACUCAUUCAAAUCUCAUACAUCUUCUUAAUCUUCAGCUGGUAGUUGCUCCGCGCGCCGAAUCAUUUCUGGAUUUCUAUUGUAACCUAUGAACAAACACCUCAUCUGCAUCACCAAACUGCGAUAUCUAAACCGAUACAGUCUUGCCAUCACAUCAACCACAGAAAUCCUUAUUCUUAAACAAUUUGAUUUACCAAGAAGUUCCUGUGAUUCUU
rnacentral:lncRNA from 1 species